AUGGUGCAUUAAUGAGUGCAAUGAUUCAAUGUAAUGGUGCAUGAAAUCAGAUAUGAUGGAGGGAACAAUGAAUGUUGUAGGAAUGAGUGCAAGGAGUGGAGGUUAAAGUGAUGAAAUGAUGCAUGAAAUCUGAAAUGAUGGAGGGACAAAUGAAUGUUGCAGCAAUGAGUGCAAGGAGUGGAGAUUAAAGUGAUGAAAUGAUGCAUGAAAUUUGAAAUGAUGGAGGGAACAAGGAAUGGUUUAUCAAUUGAGUGCAAGGAGGGAACAUGGAUGAUGAUGCACGACAUGGGAAUCCAAGGGGAUUGCAAUGGUGCAUGAAAUCUAGAUCAAAUGAGGGGACAAUGGUGAUGGCACGGCAUUGAUGGAAAGGUGAAGGAGUGGUGCAUCAAAUGAGUGCAAGGAAUGAACAAUGAUGAUGGCACGACAUGGAAGGUGAAUGGUGCAUUGACACCCUUUUGUGGCUGAGAUUAAGGCUUCUAGAAUCCUUAUUUAGUGUCCUAAUAUCUUUGGGAACCCUUAUUGUGGCUGGAACUUAGUUGGAUUAGGAUUAAGAAAGGUUAAAUCAAGAUAAGGUAAUCUUGACUCAUGUUUCUUCUUUGGUUGCUGAGCUCUUUGUCAUUUUUACAUUAAUUCUUCUUUCUCUUUAACACAUUCCUAGCCUCUUUAGUCUUCAAUUUUGUCCAUGCACCUUGCUCCAUGCAUGUGUUAUCCAUUCCAAGCCCAAAACUGCUCCAAAAUGCACCAAAAUGCACCUUAUUGCUUUAUAAGGCCUAUGGACCUACAAACACAUGAAAAUAGUUUAAAAUACAUAAUUAACCAAGAAAUAACAACAUAAAUGCACAAGAACAAGCUAACUAAGUCGCAUAAAUAUGCUCCUAUCAAAUUCCCCCACACUUAGCUUUUGCUAGUCCUCGAGCAAGAUGAAAUCAACAAAAUAAAACAAAACACACUCUAAUCCUUCCAACAUUUGCCUCAGGGAUUUCCAAUGAAACAUGAUAUGCCAAAGAUCACCACUCCCAUAGAUUUUAGUCAUCCUUACCCUCGAGCAUACUUAAUCAUUGUCACCAUUCACUAGCUCACAUUUAAUCAAUUAAAACAACAUUUUGCAAUAACAUGCCUUAGAGAAUUCCCUCAAUUCCUUACUAGAUACACUCUUAUUUUCACACAAGAAUUUCUGACUACAUUCCCUAUACUAGGUAUAUGUACACUCAAGAUGGAAGUCAAGGUUUGUAACGGGGUUAAGGGUGUUGGCUAACAAAGAAAGGUAAAGGUAAACAAACGUUCUUAAAGCAAUAGUGAGCAAAGUAAUGAUUUUAACACUUAGAAUUCACUUUUGUAUGUAAAAAUCUACUUAAACACAAAGGGGAAGUUCAUGCAACACUUAGGGUCAAAUUUAAACUUUUGGACCCUUUCUUCAACAAUCACACUGAGUUCAUUCUCACUUAUUUUCAACUCUUUUUCUUUCUUUUCUAUACUUUUCAACUCUUUUUUUAUUGCCUUGCCCUAUGGCACAUAAAACAUACACUUUGAAACAUUUCCCCCACACUUGUUUUCUGCAAUAAUGUUACCAAAAAGGAAUUCCUUCUAAAUCAUGCUCCACUAUACUUCAAGAACAAGGGUAUGGAAAGUCCUAAUCUAGGCUAGGUAGGGAUAAUGUGGUUAACAAAGAAAGUAGGCUAAAUAAAGCUCAAAGGGGUUAAAACCUACAAAACAAAUGACAAAGGUGGAUUCGGUAAUUUUUCUUUGGUUCACUAAACAACUUCAUCUUGAAUAUGUGUUAUGCAAAUCAAUGUCAUACUUUGAAUGGAAUGGGCAUGAGUUCUAGUAUUUAGAUCUAUAAUGAUGAAACGCAUUCUAAGUAGCAACCAAGCAAAGAAUAAUGAGAUCAUGCAACGACGUUAGAAAACAAGACUGCAUAGAUUAAUAACUCUCCAAAUAAACAUUUAGGCUCAAGUCCCUCAGGGAUGUAGCGUUAGUUUGAGUUCCUUCAUUCAAGCAUGUUACAACAACUGAUUUUUUUUCUUUUGUGAUUGCAUGUGAAUUCAUAAACUAUAACUACAACCAAGCAUAAACCAAAGAGUAUAUCAAACUUCCAUCCAUGUUUGUAACUUUCUUUAACAGUCAUGUACUUAAAAACCAAAUCCUCAUUAUUGUGUUGGAAGGUACCCUAAGACACAAACAUACAAAAACAACUCAAUUUGGCUUUUUCAAAACAAUUUUUCAAAUUUUUAUCAAGUUUUCGAAUUUUUAUGUCAAAACACACUACAACACUUAAAAACAGUGAAAAACAACAUUGUAAGUGAUAGGUGAAUAAAACCCAUGAAAUUACAUAAAAACACUUGUUUACCCCCCCCCCCUAACACUUAAAUCAAACAUUGUCCUCAAUGUUGCAAGCAUAGACUUACACUCAAACAAGAAAAUAACAUAACUAAUAAAACAUGACAAGUAUGGCAAAGUAAAAACAAGACAGAGUAGAGUUUAAGAACGCAAAUCUGGUUAUGGAGAUAGAUGAUCUUGUUGACUUUCCACAGCUUUGAUCUCGAACUGGUUUGGAAUUCUGAGCAAGGAAUAUGAGAGUUCCUUGGUUUUAAAUCAGACUCCUUCUGCUGGGUUGAUUUGAUUGUGCAGUCUGCAUUCUUCUCUGCUUGUUUCUUCUGCACGGCAGGCAGGCACGAGGUAAAGGUGAUGGUCUGUUUCCUUUUUUAAUCUUUCCAAGUGUCGACCAUUUGCUUUCUUUCUCCUUGUCCCUAGCUGAGGAUGAAUUAGCACAUUGUCUCCACAUGCUUCGAGGUAUCAUUUUCACUUCCCUUAUCUGUUUUCCAGUCAGAUGUGGUAUCUUUUCAGGAAGCAUAAGAUGUUGAAGAUGAGUACUCGAGAGCAAUGCUAGGUAAGCAAUCAGGAAGGUGUUCCAGGCAGUCGGUUCCAAAUCGGAAGAUUGAUACCAAGUGUUGGCUGAUUGCUCUCUUUCUCCUUGUCCCGCAGGUGAAAACAAAGACAAAAAGAAGGACAGGGAGAAAGCAUGAUAUGAGAUACUCUUGCUUUCAACCUUCAUGAUAUGAAAUACUUUUGCUUUUGAUGAGUUAUUUGUAGAGGUACCCCAGGGAAUAAGGAACACUGAGUGACUCGAGAGGCUUCGUUGGGAAGGCAUUCUCAGAGAUGAAGAAAGGUUAUGUAUGUAUGCCUAGCUAUAGAGGGUGAAGGUUUACAUUUAUAUGAAUUAAUAACCGGUACUAUUCUUUCACUCUUGUUGGCAACCGUUGGAUAAUUGAACAGUAAACUUCACGUGUUUUCUACUUCACCAUCUUCGACCGAUUGCCUGUAAUUUCUGCAAGGCUGAGGGUGCUUGUGACAGGUGCUAACACGUCUGGAAAAGCAGAUGCCUCUUCGAUAUCUGGAAUCGACGCUUCGACAAACUGCCCGUGAUUUCUGCAAAGCUGAGUGUGCAUAUUAUAGGUGAUGGCACGUCUGAAAAAGCAAGUGCCUCUUCCAUUUCUAAGAUCGGCUCGUGGUCUCUAAGCAGCCCAGUUUUUUAGAAAAGAGGCGUCUCUUCGAUUUUUGAGCGGGCACCUCUUCGAUUUCUGAAGCUCCGUCGAGUGCUGAUUUUUAUAAAGGCACACAUUAUGUUUCAAAGUAAACUUGAAUUACCACCUGUAAAAAUUCCCUUUUUACACUUCUGAAAUCUUGAUUUGUCUGACAUCUUCUUCAACACCUUAGGAAUGUCUUGCCCAUCUGACUGUCGUAUUAACUUGAAUGUCGGGAAGAUAUUGACAUGUCUCCUCCAGACAACAUUUGGCAUCCGUCCUUCGUAUCCCCCAAUAGUCAUCUUACAGUUGGGGAUUCUAUGAUGAUGAACGAUACAACCGCUUCGGUGGUGGCCAAAAAUCUUCUCACUCCUAGAGACACUAGGAUACUUUCCAAGCGGUCUGACGAGCUGGUUGUUCAGGACUCUUUGGCCUAUAGCGUCUGAUGUGUAGGCUCAGUAUCAAACAUGGGCCAACGCCUUCUUGCUCGUUCUCGUCAAGUUGAGUCGUUGAUGGCUGAAGUGGCCAGUCUUCGGCAAAAGUUCAGAGUGUUUAGGCACGAGAAUAAGGAGUUGCACAUACUCUCAACUAAUUACUCAACAAGUAUGAAGAGGAAGCUUGACCAGCUGUAGGAGUUCGAAGUUCAGAUUCAAAGUGAUCAUCAAAGGUUUAUUGUGUUACUCCAGCGGCAACUUCUGCCUUCGUCAUCUGGCGCUUCAUCAAGUGUUGAGGCUUCGAAAAAUCAAUCUCUGGUGCUUUGUCUUUCUGGAGGUCCGUCGAAUGCUGAGGCACCACCUGACCAAUGAAGGCUCCUUCCUGCUUGUUUGCAUUUUCUUGUAUUUUUCUUCCUUUCUACCUAAUGUUCCUUUUUCCACGAAGAUUAAUGUAAAAAAACCUUGCAUACCUGUCAAUAUUUCAAACAUAAACCCACACCAAAAACAAUCAAACAAGCAAAAAAAAAUAAAAAUGAUAAUCAUGUCAAAAUAAAAAAUUGCAAAAAAGGGAAGGUUUUUAGGAACGCAAAACUAAUCGUGGAGCGAUUCAAAGAUCUUCCUUAUUUGAAUACAUGGGUUGCCUCCCAAGAAGCCCUUGCUUUAACGUCUUGCAGCCGGACGAAACUUCCUUCUAAGCUUGGAAAGGGCCCACGGCAGUGAGUGGGAUUUCUUCCACAAUCUGCCCCAUAUUACUCUCAUAGUAUAGCUUCAGACGAUGCUCGUUCACUUUGAAUUCGUCGCCGUUCCUUAAGCUUUUAACUUGGAGUGCACCAUGGGGAAAAACAUUAGUAACAAUAAACAGCCCAAUCCACUUAGAACGUAACUUACCAGGGAACAAAUGUAGACGGGAAUUGAAUAGCAGCACUUUCUGUCCAAUUGAGAAUGUUUUUCCCCGAAUCAUUUUGUCAUGAAAUGCCUUUGUUUUCUCCUUGUAAAUUCGUGCAUUUUCAUAGGCUUCGUUCCUUAUCUCUUCAAGUUCAUUCAAUUGGAGCUUUCUAUUUAUUCCAACAGCAUCUAAGUCCAAAUUGAAUGUUUUCACAGCCCAAUGCGCCUUGUGCUCUAGUUCCACAGGUAGGUGACACAGCUUGCCAUAGAUUAGUCGAAAUGGAGACAUCUCCAGAGGUGUUUUGUAGGUAGUGCGAUAUGCCCACAGUGCAUCGUCUAAACGCAAGCUCCAAUCCUUCCGGGUUGGCCCAACAGUAUUUUCCAAGAUUUGCUUGAUUUCUCUAUUUGAAACUUCGGCUUAGCCACUUGUUUGGGGGUGGUAUGGUGUGGAAACCCGAUGCUUGACAUUGUACUUUUUAAACAGCACCUCAAUGGUGCAAUUGUAAAAGUGGGAGCCUCCAUCGCUUAUGAACACCCUCGGCAUGCCAAAUCUGGAAAAGAUGUUAGCCUUGAUAAAAUCUGCCACCACUCUAGAAUCAUUAGUACAUGUGGCUUUGGCUUCCACCCAUUUCGACACAUAAUCAACGGCUAACAAAAUAUAAGUAAAACCAUAUGAGGGCGGAAAGGGUCCCAUGAAAUUCAUACCCCAUACAUCAAAGAUCUCCACAUUAAAGAUGGGGGUUUGCGGCAUUUGGUCCUUGGCACCUAUUGUACCUGUUCUUUGGCAUCUAUCACAAGUUAUGUAAAACGUUCUAGCAUCCUUAAACAAUGUAGGCCAAUAGAAACCACUCUCUAAAACCUUAAGGAUCGUCCUUUGGGUGCCAAAAUGACCCCCACAUGCAUAACUAUGGCGGAAUGCAAAAAUUGAAUUAAACUCAGAAUUGUGCAUACAUCUACGAAUAAUCUGGUCAGGACAAUUCUUCUACAAAUAUGGAUCAUCCCACACAUAAAAUCGUGCAUCAUUUCUGAGUUUAUCACGCUUGUAUUUAUCUAGAAUGCUAGGAACUUGUUUUGUGACCAAAUAAUUUACCAAAUCAGCACACCAAGGCUCACUUACCUCUAGGGACAGCAAUUGCUCAUCAGGGAAUGUCUCUAAAAUGGGUAAUGAGUCUUCCUCGUGCACCAAACAGCUGAGGUGGUCAGCCACCAUGUUUUCACUCCCCUUUUUGUCUCUUAUAUCAAUGUUGAACUCUUGAAGUAGGAGCAUCCAACGAAUCAGCCUUGGUUUGGCCUCCUUCUUGGUGAGAAGAUACUUCAACGCUGCAUGGUCAGAAUAUACAAUCACUUUAGUGCUAAGUAAGUAUGAACGAAAUUUAUCUAAAGCAAAGACAACUGCAAGAAGUUCUUUCUCAAUGGUAGAAUAAUUCAAUUGAGCAUCAUUUAGGGUCCGGGAAGCGUAAUGGAUGACGUGAGGCUGUUUGUUCCUCCUUUGGCCUAAAAUAGCACUAAUGGCAUAGUCGGAUGCAUUACACAUUAGCUCAAAUGGAAGGCUCCAAUUUGGUGGCAUGAUUAGGGGUGGGUUGGAAAAACCGAAAAUUGAAAAAAAUCGACAACCAAACCGAACCGAAGCCGAAAAAAACCGAAUCGAAAAAAAAACUGAACCGAAUGUGUUGAACCGAACCGAAAUGAAUUUAGUUGGUUUGGUUUCAGUUUUUGAGAUUUGAAAACCGGACCGGACCGAACCGAAUCGAAAUAUGAAAAUUAAAUAUAAAUACUCAAAACCUGCUGCUGUGAGGAAUCGAACCCCUUCCGUCCAGGUGGGGAUAAUUCCUUCAAGUCAACUUAACUGUAGGCUUAUUGUUGCUAUAUCUGUACCAGUAUAUCAUUUAUAGGUAUUCUAAUCUCUAAUGCUUUAUAAAAUUUGUAAAGUUUACAAACCCUAGCAGCCGUCACUCAUUUUCUUUCUCAAACACUCUCGCUCAUUCCUUAGUCUCUCUCUCCCUCCUCCUCUCUCCCUCAUCCGCUGCUCUCUCUCCCUCCUUCCUCUCUUCCUCUCUUCCUCUCUUCAACUCUUCAACUCUCCUUCCUCUCUUCCUCUUUCCAACGUGCCAAGUCCAUGGUUGUAACAUGGAUCUUCAACUCUCAUUCCUCCGGAUUUCUUUAACAGUAAGUAUUCAAUUUCUUCCUUUUUUUUCAUUUUCUUGUUUAAUUCUUUGAGUGCUGAAAAUGGUAGUUUUUUUAUUUAUUGAUUAAUAGUUUUUAUUUCUUUAGUUUGUUUAAUAUGCUUUGUGCAUUUAUUUGUUGGCUUUGUGAAUUUAUUUGUUGACUUUGUGAAAUUUUGAAGAAAAAAUGGCUGAUGUUGUUCUUGGAUUUGUCUUUGUGGAGCCCUAUGUGGUAAAUAUAUUUGAUUUAAGGGUUUGUAACCAUUGGAGAAAAAUGUUGUUUCUUGGAUUGCCGUGAUUUGUGGGUACAUUAAAGGGUUGUUUGUGUAUGGUUAAUGGUUCUUCUCUUUUAAAGGUUUAAUCUCUUCACUUAUUAUUGAGAUUUGGUUCUUCUUGAUGUGAAAAUUAACUAGCACUCAAAUUAACCCUCUUUUUAUCAAUUGUAGUAAGUAUGUAAGUAGGGAUCGUUCUAGGCCGGGGAUUAGGAGGGAUUGCAAAAUCACUUGAAAACUGACUCAAAUACGUAAAACAAGUUCAAAAUACUAAACUAGACUCAAAGAAUACAAAACUAAACUUUAAAACACCAAAACAAACCAAAAGACUCAAAACAGCAAAUAAACACUCAAAACCGCCUUAAAACCACUUUCUGGGCAGUUUUGGACACUAGGGAAGAAUUUGGACGAAAAUUGGUUUAAACUUGACUCAAGACACCUAAAAACACAAACUAAAUGGGUUUCUAACUAAUAUGACACUUAAAACUAAAGGGGGAUUGAUUUUGGACGAAUUUUGAAAACAAAACAAAACUUUGUAAAUUGAAAAGACUCUAAAACGAAUUUGGUUUAAAUGGAUGGAUGGAAGGCUAGCUAAGGGGUUCAUCUCCACACAUGUCACACUUGCAUAUAAAACGAUCUCUAAUUGCUUUUCAAUAAACCAUGAAUUCCCAACGCCCCAAGUUAAUUAGGUCCGCUUAAAUUAACCUUCAGAUUUUCCUAAUGUUAUUGAAUUGGAUGAUUGCAUACGACAACCCAAAGCAUUCCCCACAAGUCCCCUACAUGAUUGCAUAAUAGAGAUACAAGCAAGAAUCAUUAAGUUCUAUGAAAACCAUAAGCAUUGACGAAGCACUUGUUACUAUGAUUGCAUGAAACUUAUGCCAAGAAUUUACUUAACACGAUUGUGAUCAACAACCUUUACUACUUGUGAAUAUAAGUUCAUAACGAUUAGGUGAAAUUCCCUUAUAUCCUAGCAUCAAAUUCAUGCAUGAAAACUAAGUGUCGACCCUCAAUCAACAUACAAGAAUAAGUUUUAAUUCACAUAGAUAAGCAAAUUGAAAUCACAACUUAUGAAACGCAAUUAGAAGUAAUCAAAUCAUAUAGCAAGCAUAAUCAUGGUUUCGAAUCCCCUCCUAGCCAAGGGGGGUUUAGUUCCUCAUACUCGCAAAUAAACAAAGAUAAAUAAAUUUAAACAUUAAAACAAAGAUAGAAAACACCUAGAAACGCUCCACAAUCCAAGCUCCUUGAAUGGCAUGCACGGCUCCAAGUUGUCUUCCUUCUUCUCCUUGCAAACUCACGGCACACAAGGUAUGUUUGGGUGAAUGGAGUAGUGAAAAUAUGGUAGAGGAUGGUGACUAAAUGGUGCAGCAAAGGAUGGUAUUUAUAGGCUGAAAUGCGCAGCCCCUAUGUAGCAAAGGAAAAGGAUUUAAAAGCCUAAUUUGUAUAGGAUAAUAACACACAAUCCUUGAAGGAAAAGGCUAAGGCUUUUAGAAACCAAGGGGGAAAGGAAUAAUCAGGUUUCUAGAAGUUCUAGAAAGGUUUGGGGCGUCACUUUUGUAGGACAAGGGAUAAGGCCUUCUAGAAAGGUUGUUUUGUGGCUGAUUUCUAGAAAAAACAAGGGAUAAGGUGUGGCACCUUUGUAGGAGUGGAUAAGGGCUUCUAGAAACCAAUUUUAAUGUGUCCUAAUCUGAAAAUAAAUCCCCUAUGCAGCUAGAAUUAAAUUAGGAUAGGAUUAGGAUAGGAUAAGAUAAGAUAGGAUUGGAUAGGAUAGGGUUUGGAUAAUGUUUUGGAUAAGGUUUCUUCACUUGAGAUGAUUCUUUGGCUUCAACUUCCCUUCUUCAAGUAGGAAACCUUGUUUGAGUAGGAAACUUCAAUCUUCUAGGAAUCCAACUUCAACUAGGAAUCCAUCUUUAACUAGGAUUUCAUCUUCAAUUAAGCACUUUCCCACUUCAAUUAGGAAUCUUUGUAUCUUCAAUUCUUCAACUUCAAAACACAUUCCUAGCUUCAUCAAUCCUUCAAAUUCGUCCAUCCCUUGUGCUUCAUGUGCAUGAACUCCAUUCUAGCCCAAUUUUGCUCCAAAAUGCUCCAAAUUGCAUCAUUUUGCUCACUUUGUCUCUAAAACCUGAAAACACAUGAAAAUAGCUUAAAAGACUACUUUAACUAAGAAAACACAACAUAAAUGCAUAAGAACUAGCUAACUAAGGUGCAUAAAUAUGCUCCUAUCAAAUUCCCCCACACUUAGCUUUUGCUAGUCCUCGAGCAAAACAACGAAACAAAACAUGACCUAAACCUUCCAACAAUCGCCUCAGGGAUUUCCAAUGGUACAUGACAUAUUAAAAAUCAUCAUUCCCAUAGAUUUUAGUCAUCUUCACACUUAAGCACAUACUUAAUCAUAGUCACCACGUACUAGUUCACGUAUAACCAUUUAAAACAUGAUUUUGAAUGUAGUAACAUGCCUUAGAGAAAUUGCUCAAGUCCUUACUAGAUAUGCACUCAAUUUUCACACAGAUUUUCUAACUCCACACCCUAUACUAGUUAUAUGUGAGAAGAUUGAUGUAAAUAUGAAAACGAACGCUCACAUAUAUGUAUAACAAAGAAAGCAUUUUCGGUAGUUAAUAAGCAUUUAGAUAUGAUCUCAUGAAUGGAAUGCUACUACUUAGAUGCGAGAACCAGGGAUAUCAUAUGCUCAUACCAAUUCCAAACUCCACAUACUGAAACACAUAACAAUCAAGAUAGAAGCAAAGGGUUGUAACGGGGCUAAGGUAUUGGCUAACAAAGAAAGGUCAGGAUAAACAAACAUUCUUAAAGAAUAAUAAGCAAAGUAAUGAAAUUGACACUUAGAAUUCACUUUCGCAUGCAAAAAUCGAUUUUGAAACACAAGGGGAAGACUCAUGCAACACUUAGGGUCAAAUUCAAUGUUUUGGACCCUUUCUUCAACAACCAACAACUUAGAGCUCAUUUUAUGCUCUUUCAACUCCUUUUCAUACUUUUCACACUUUUCUCUUUUUUUCUUCCUUUUUCUACGAAUUUUCUUCUUCUUUUUUUUUUUUUCUUUUUCUUUUUCUAACCCGUGCCCUUCUACUUCUUUUGGCACACAAACUUUCCCUUCCCCCACACUUAGUUUUCUGCACAACAUUGAUCAAAAGGAACUUAGUUUUCUGCACAACAUUGAUCAAAAGGAAUUCCCUCUAAGUCAUGCUUUAUUAUCCUUUAAGAACAAGGGUAUGGAUAGUCCUAAUCUAGGCUAGGUAAGGAUAAUGUGGCUAACAACAAAAAUAGGCUAAAUAAGGCUCAAAGGGGCUGAUCCUAUAAAAACAAAUGCAUGGGUUUGAAGGCUUUUUGGUGCUGGUGAUAACUACUAAACAACUUCAUCUUGUUAGUUAUGCUAAUCAAUUUUAAGAUUUGAAUGAAUUUGGUAUGAGUUCUAAUAUUUGGAUCUAUAAUGAUGAAACGCCUUCUAAGUAGCAACCAAGCAAAGAAUGAUGAGAUCAUGCAACGACUUUAGAAAACAAAAAAUUCACAGAUUAUUAACUCUCCAAAGAAUGUUUAGGCUCAAGUCUCACAAGGUUGUAGCGUUAGUUUGAGUUACUUCCUUCAAGCAUGUUACAAAAACUGAUUUUUACUUUGUGAUUACAUGUGAAUUCGUAAACAACAACGAUGACCAAGCAUAAAUAAAAGAGCAUAUCAACUUCCAUCCAUGUUUGUAACUUUCUUUAACCGUCAUGCAAUUAAAAACCAAAUCCUCAUCAUUGUGUUGGAAGGUACUCUAUGACACAAACAAGCAAAAACAACUUUUAAAACGACUCUUUUUGGGUUUUUUCAAAACUUUUUCUAUUUUUUUUUCUUGAAUUUUCGGAUUUUUUUGGUAAAUCCACAUAAAAACACAUCGAAACUUUCUAAAAACACUUAAAAACAAUGAAAAACAACCUUUGAAAUGUUAGGUGGUAAAAUCCUACGAAUUUGACACAAAAAACACUUUGUUUACCCCCCCCCCACACUUAAACCAAACAUUGUCCUCAAUGUUUCAAACAUAGACUCACACAAAAGCACGCAAAUAACACAACUAGCAAACAUGACAAAUAUGGCAAAGUAAAAGCAAUAAAGAGUAGGGUUUAGAAAUGCAAAUCUGAUUAUGAUGCCGGAGUGUCCUAGGUCCUCUUUAUUUGCAUGGGUUGCCUCCCAAGAAGCGCUUGCUUUAACGUCUUCCAGGCGGACGAUGCUCCAUUGAAGGUUUAUGGAACCCCACGGCAUGGAGGGGUGUUUCCACAACCUGACCUACGAAAUACUUCAUCUUUUGGGUCCUUGAAUGGGAUGGGAUAAUGAUCCUUUCUUAUUGUCAUGUUUUGCUUCUCUAAAUCAACACGAACUCUCCCACCACGUUGUCUUCGAUUUGGUACCUGCACCAUACAAGGUAACAACCUAUUAGUUGAAAUGGGAAUCGAAAUUGGAAUAGGUGGCUUACCUUUGUACGGCAAAGAAAUGGUAGCACUAUGGACAAAUGCACAAGGGUUGCAUUUGGGCAGAUUUGAUGAUUUCAAGGUUGGGGCCGUGCACUCUUUGUUGUUCACUCCAAUUCCUUCCUCGAUGGUGGGUUGUGGUACAUUCUUCUUGACUAGUGUUGAACAUUCCUGCCCUAUAUUUUCAAUUACAUUAAUAGCACAACAAGAACGAACAUCAUUAGUAUUCUCAACCGAUUCAGAAACCUUAAAGUUAAUCAUAUCACCACCAAAGGCCAUAGUUACUGCUCCCUUGGCCACGUCAAUCUUGGUUUGAGCCGUUUUCAUGAAUGGUCUUCCAAGUAAGAGUGGUGAUGGUGGAGAGUGGGUUGAGUCCUCCAUAUCAAGCACAUAGAAAUCUGCAGGAAAAAUCAAGUGGUCUACCUGCACCAAAACAUCUUCCAACACUCCUUUGGGAUAUGCAUUAGAUCGAUCGGCUAAUUGAAUAAUAACACCAUCAUUUUUAAGCUUUCCUAGAUUCAUAGAUGCAUAAACAGAAUAUGGCAUGACAUUUAUAGAUGCACCUAAAUCUAACAUAGCAUUAUCAAACCUCGCAUUGCCAAUAACACAAGGGAUAGUGAAACUACCUGGAUCUUUGCAUUUAGGUGGUAACUUUCUUUGCAACAAUGCGGAUACAUUCUCACUUACGUGUACCACCUCUUUCUCCCGAAUCCGUUUCCUUGUUGUACAAAGCUUCUUCAAAAACUUGGCAUACUUCGGGAUUUGCUUUAUAGCAUCGAGGAGAGGGAUAUUGACAUGCACCUUUCUAAAUGUCUCAAGAACGUCUUUUUCCUCUUCUUCGUUCUUGGCUUGCAAAAAUCUACUAGGAAAGGGUACAUCCGGAGGAAUAACAUUAGAAUUAACUUGAAUUGUACCUUCCUUACCCUUAUUGGCCGAAUUGGAUGGCUUGGGUGGUUGCGGCAAAGGGUGUUCCAUCCCUGCCGUGGGUGAGGUUUGGUGUUCUUCCUCAAACAGAAGCUUUUCAUCCUCUUUUUGACUUGAAUUGGAUGCUUGAGGUUCAAGUCCAACUUGUUUGCCACUCCUCAAUGUAAUUGCUUUGGCUGUUUCGAAUCCCCCUUUUGGAUUUGCAACGGUUGAACUAGGGAGUCUUCCUUGGUCUCGAAACUGUCCUACAAACUCCACAAUUUGCCCAAUUUGUUUUUCCAAGUGAUCCACCCUUUUAGCUUGGGUUUGCAAUGCUGUGGUUUGAUUAUCUAGCCCCUGAGACAAAGUGUUGAGUAAUUUAAGAAUUGUAUCAUUAUCCAAGGACGUACCUGAAUUUGGUGGGGCAGAUUGUAUUUGAGUUUGAUUUGGUGUGAAUGGCGUUUGAUAGAAACCCGGGGGUUGUUGCCGAAAUGUGUUUUGUUGUUGGUCUUGUUAGGGUUCCCGCCAUUUGAAAUUCGGAUGAUCACGCCAACCGGGAUUGUAGGUGUUAGAAAAGGGAUCAUUCCUUUGUUGGUAUUGCUGCAUAAAGCCCACGACAUUGAGGGUCUCCCACCCUCCGUUCUCGAUCAAUUGUGGGCACUUGUCCGUAGGAUGUCCUUGCAUGGAACAUACACCACACGCACUUACAUUUUGAACUUUUGGCCCUUCCACAACCUGAGAAAGCAACGUAGUAAGGUUAGCCAUUUGAUUUUGAAGUUCGGUUAUGGCACUUACCUCAUUCACUUGGUGUUGCCGUGGGGUGCCUCUUUGUCCAACGCCUUCGUAUUGUUGAGCGUUCAACGCUCGAUUGGCAAUCAACGUCUUUGUUACCGUGGGGGUCUUGUCCACCAAUGCUCCACCUGCCGAGGCAUCUAGCAUUUGUCGUUCGAUUGGUAGAAGUCCCUCGUAGAAGUAUUGUAGAAGAAGCUCCUCCUUCAUUUAAUGCUGUGGACAAGAAGCAACAAGAGAUUUAAAACGUUCAUAAUAUGUAGGAAAAGACUCACCUUCUUCUUGUUGAAUUCCACUUAUCCUUUUUCGUAGGAGGAUGACUCGAGAAGUUGGGAAAAACUUCUCCAAGAAAGCUCUUUUCAUGCUUUCCCAAGAUGUGACCGUUCCGGGAACUAAUUCAUACAACCAAUCUUUCGCCUUUUCCAUGAGAGAAAAGGGAAAGGCCUUCAUCUUCAAUAUACUCCCGUCGACAUUGAUUGGAGUCAUGCUUGAACACACCACCUCAAACUCUUUCAAGUGCUUGUUAGGAUCCUCCAUGGACAACCCAUGGUACUUCGGAAUAUGGUGUAGCAAACUUGACUUUAACUCGAAUUCCUCGGUCUUUCCUUGGGCAGCCGCCGGAUAUUGAAUACAUAGAGGUGCGGCAUUGUCCAAUCCCGAAGCCGAGAGCUCCUUGAUUGUACGAUUGUCUUGUGCCAUGACUGUCUCAACUUCACCCACUUGUGCCGUGGGUUCCUCUUCCUCAAUCUCAACUUCGGCUUCCGAAUUUGAACUUGAUUCACUAGGUUCUGGAUUCUUCCUCUUUCGUCUCAACUCUCGUUCAAAAUCGUCGUCAAAGUCCAAUAUGUGUUCACGAACCAGAUGAGAGCUCCGAGUCAUAAACUAGUACCUAGAAACACAAAACAAAAACAAAGUCAAAAUCUGGACACAAAUAAAACAAAUUGAAAUAAAACAAUCCAAGGGAUUAGCAACUUUGCUAAUCCCCGGCAACGGCGCCAAAAUUUGAUGUGAAAAUUAUGUUGACACUCAAAUUAACCCUCUUUUUAUCAAUUGUAGUAAGUAUGUAAGUAGGGAUCGUUCUAGGCCGGGGAUUAGGAGGGAUUGCAAAAUCACUUGAAAACUGACUCAAAUACGUAAAAACAAGUUCAAAAUACUAAACUAGACUCAAAGAAUACAAAACUAAACUUUAAAACACCAAAACAAACCAAAAGACUCAAAACAGCAAAUAAACACUCAAAAUCGCCUUAAAACCACUUUCUGGGCAGUUUUGGACACUAGGGAAGAAUUUGGACGAAAAUUGGUUUAAACUUGACUCAAGACACCUAAAAACACAAACGAAAUGGGUUUCUAACUAAUAUGACACUUAAAACUAAAGGGGGAUUGAUUUUGGACGAAUUUUGAAAACAAAACAAAACUUUGUAAAUUGAAAAGACUCUAAAACGAAUUUGGUUUAAAUGGAUGGAUGGAAGGCUAGCUAAGGGGUUCAUCUCCACACAUGUCACACUUGCAUAUAAAACGAUCUCUAAUUGCUUUUCAAUAAACCAUGAAUUCCCAACGCCCCAAGUUAAUUAGGUCCGCUUAAAUUAACCUUCAGAUUUUCCUAAUGUUAUUGAAUUGGAUGAUUGCAUACGACAACCCAAAGCAUUCCCCACAAGUCCCCUACAUGAUUGCAUAAUAGAGAUGCAAGCAAGAAUCAUUAAGUUCUAUGAAAACCAUAAGCAUUGACGAAGCACUUGUUACUAUGAUUGCAUGAAACUUAUGCCAAGAAUUUACUUAACACGAUUGUGAUCAACAACCUUUACUACUUGUGAAUAUAAGUUCAUAACGAUUAGGUGAAAUUCCCUUAUAUCCUAGCAUCAAAUUCAUGCAUGAAAACUAAGUGUCGACCCUCAAUCAACAUACAAGAAUAAGUUUUAAUUCACAUAGAUAAGCAAAUUGAAAUCACAACUUAUGAAACGCAAUUAGAAGUAAUCAAAUCAUAUAGCAAGCAUAAUCAUGGUUUCGAAUCCCCCCCUAGCCAAGGGGGGUUUAGUUCCUCAUACUCGCAAAUAAACAAAGAUAAAUAAAUUUAAACAUUAAAACAAAGAUAGAAAACACCUAGAAACGCUCCACAAUCCAAGCUCCUUGAAUGGCAUGCACGGCUCCAAGUUGUCUUCCUUCUUCUCCUUGCAAACUCACGGCACACAAGGUAUGUUUGGGUGAAUGGAGUAGUGAAAAUAUGGUAGAGGAUGGUGACUAAAUGGUGCAGCAAAGGAUGGUAUUUAUAGGCUGAAAUUCGCAGCCCCUAUGUAGCAAAGGAAAAGGAUUUAAAAAAGCCUAAUUUGUAUAGGAUAAUAACACACAAUCCUUGAAGGAAAAGGCUAAGGCUUUUAGAAACCAAGGGGGAAAGGAAUAAUCAGGUUUCUAGAAGUUCUAGAAAGGUUUGGGGCGUCACUUUUGUAGGACAAGGGAUAAGGCCUUCUAGAAAGGUUGUUUUGUGGCUGAUUUCUAGAAAAAACAAGGGAUAAGGUGUGGCACCUUUGUAGGAGUGGAUAAGGGCUUCUAGAAACCAAUUUUAAUGUGUCCUAAUCUGAAAAUAAAUCCCCCAUGCAGCUAGAAUUAAAUUAGGAUAGGAUUAGGAUAGGAUAAGAUAAGAUAGGAUUUGAUAGGAUAGGGUUUGGAUAAUGUUUUGGAUAAGGUUUCUUCACUUGAGCUGAUUCUUUGGCUUCAACUUCCCUUCUUCAAGUAGGAAACCUUGUUUGAGUAGGAAACUUCAAUCUUCUAGGAAUCCAACUUCAACUAGGAAUCCAUCUUCAACUAGGAUUUCAUCUUCAAUUAAGCACUUUCCCACUUCAAUUAGGAAUCUUUGUAUCUUCAAUUCUUCAACUUCAAAACACAUUCCUAGCUUCAUCAAUCCUUCAAAUUCGUCCAUCCCUUGUGCUUCAUGUGCAUGAACUCCAUUCUAGCCCAAUUUUGCUCCAAAAUGCUCCAAAUUGCAUCAUUUUGCUCACUUUGUCUCUAAAACCUGAAAACACAUGAAAAUAGCUUAAAAGACUACUUUAACUAAGAAAACACAACAUAAAUGCAUAAGAACUAGCUAACUAAGGCGCAUAAAUAUGCUCCUAUCACUUUUCUUUUAAAGAUUUAAUCUUCACUUAUUAUGGUACAUCAAAGGGCUGUCUGAUUUAUUCAUAUCUAAACCUUCUAGCGGUGAAUUAUGCAUUUACUAAUCCGGCUGUUAACUUGCUUUCAUCUUCCCAGGUCAGCUUGUAUGCAAAUAAUAACUUGAUGUGUUUUUCUUAAUGCGAAUGUACAUCUCCACUGCCUAAAGGGGAAUUUGAAACCCGAUUGCUAUGCCAUCGUGAAGGUAUGGUGAAUGCUUUACCUUACAAUUGAACUGAUUUUCUUUCUCGAUUUGAUUGUUAACCAUACAACUAUUCAAAUGGUCCUGCAUCAGUUCUGUAUCUUCCAACUAACCCUUUGGAUGUUAUGCUCUGUUCUUUACAGGUAUAUGUUAUGUAAUUGGUGUUUGGGAAAGCUUGAGUUUGAGGACUUGAAGAGAAGAAGUGUGUGCAAAGGCAUGAAGUGAUGAAACCUUGAAGGUUUAUUUGAUUUUUUUGUGUUGGAAGACUUGAAGUGUGAUUGUGUGGAAGACUUGAAUUGUGAUUGUGUUAGAGAUGUUAAAUUUUCAAGUUUCAAAUUUUUUAAUUUUUUUGGGAAAAAAAACCGAAACCGAACCGAAAAAAACCAAAACUGAAAAAAACCGAAUAGAAAAAAAAUGGGCCGAACCGAACUGAACCUAAAUUUCGGUUUGGUUUCGGUUUUGUCAAAAAACCGAACCGAUUUAAACCGAACCCAGCCCUAGGCAUGAUGAUGGAGGCCGAAGUCAACAUGUCCUUGAGGGUUUUGAAAGCGGUCUCACACUCCUUGUUAAACUUGAAGGCUACUUCCUUUUGGAGUAAACGGCAAAGGGGUUAGGAGAUUUUUGAGAAAUCCUUGAUGAAUCUCCUAUAAAAUCCUACAUGGCCAAGAAAAGAACGAACCUCCCUUACCGAAGUGAGAGAGGGUAAGUAACGUACAAGAUCUAUUUUGGAUUUAUUAACCUCAAUCCCUUUUUCUGAUAUGAUAUGCCCCAAAACUAUAUCUUGUUUUACCAUAAAAUGGCACUUUUCCCAAUUCAAGACAAGAUUAGUUUCGAUGCAUCGUUGUAAGAUCAAAGUUAGAUUAUUUAAGCAUGCAUCAAAUGAGUCACCAAAAACACUAAAGUCAUCCAUAAACACUUCAAUGAUCUUUUCCACAAAUUCUGAGAAAAUACUUACCAUACACCUUUGGAAUGUGGCUGGUGCGUCGCAUAGCCCAAAUGGCAUGCGUCGAUAAGCAAAGGUACCAAAGGGACAUGUGAAGGUAGUUUUUUCUUGGUCAUCGGGAGCUAUCACAAUUUGAUUAUAACCCGAAUAGCCAUCAAGAAAACAAUAAAAAGAAUGACCGGCUAACCUUUCAAGCAUUUGAUCAAUAAAGGGCAGCAGGAAGUGAUCUUUUCUUGUUGUAGCGUUGAGCUUCCGAUAGUCAAUACAAACUCUCCAUCCGGUUUGGAUUCGAGUGGGCACAAGCUCAUUAUCUUCGCUUUUUACCAUAGUGACUCCGGACUUCUCAGGAACAACUUGGACCGGAGAGACCCAAUGGCUAUCAUAAAUUGGGUAAAUCACUCCACAAUUUAGUAGCUUGAUGAUUUCCUUCUUCACAACGUCCAUCAUGGGUGGAUUGAGUCGGCGUUGUGCUUCUCUAGAUGGUUUGGCUCCUUCUUCCAAGAGUAUUUGAUGCAUGCAAGUGGUAGGGCUAAUUCCCUUGAUAUCGACCAAUGUCCACCCAAUGGCAGUUUUGUAUUCCCAAAGCACCCUCACCAACUUGUCCUCCUCUUGUACAGUGAGUGAAGAAAAGAUGAUGACGGGUAGCGUCUCUCGUUCUUCCAAAAACACAUAUUUCAAAUGGCUAGGCAAUGGUUUAAGCUCUAGGGAAGGUGGCUGGAUUACAGAAGGAAGCAACUUGUUAGUUGAAAUGGGAAUUGAAAUAAGGUUAGGAGACUUACUAAUAUGCCUUGGAUUUGAUUCUAGGGCAGCAACCAUCUCCACCAAUUCUUCUUGAAUAGGCACGGCAAAGUGUUCCUUGUUGUUGCCGUGGGCAUGCCUAAGUGCUAACCCUUCGUUUUUUAGUCCAAUGCUUUGCGUGAGAGUCUUUUCAAGUGCACCCUCACUCAAAUCAUCAAGGAAUUCCUGCAUCAAAGAGUCAAUCACAUCAAUAGAGAAACAAGAGUGACCAUCAUGAGGAUAUCUCAUAGCAUAAAAAAUAUUGAAAUCAAUAACUUCCCCAUCAAAUUCCAUGGUCAAUGUUCCCUUGAAUACAUCUAUCUUUGUACGGGUAGUCUUCAUGAAUGGUCGGCCAAGUAAGAUUGGUAAUUGAGGGGAACAAUUCGAGUCUUCCAUUUCAAGCACGUAGAAGUCCGCCGGAAAGACUAGGUGAUUCACCUACACUGAAACAUCCUCCAAAACACCUUUUGGAUACGCAUUAGAUCUAUCAGCCAAUUGAAUGAUCACUCCAUCAUUUUUUAAUUCUCCCAAGUUCAUAGAUGCAUAUAUUGAAUAAGGCAUGACAUUUAUUGAUGCACCUAGAUCUAACAUGGCAGAUUCAAAGUAAGUAUUGCCUAUAACACAAGGAAUUGUAAAACUGCCGGGAUCUUUGCACUUAGGAGGUAAUUUUCAUUGCAACACGGCUGAGACAUUCUGACUUACCCUUACCAUCUUUUUGUUUGAAACCCCCUUCCUUGUAGUGCACAUCUCCUUCGGGAACUUAGCAUACUUGGGGACUUGUUUAAUUGCAUCUAGAAAUGGAAUGUUGACUUGCACCUUUCUGAAUGUGUCAAGGAUAUCUUUGUCACUCUCAUCCUUCUUUGAUUGCACAAACCUGCGAGGAAAUGGUGCAUUGGGUGGAAUGGAAUUAGAAGUCAUGGAAUUUGAACCCAACUUACCUUUGGUGGUCGAAUUAAGGUGUGUAGGUGGCUGCGGCAAAGAUUGCUCAAUCCUUGCCGAGGGCAGGCCUUGUUCCUUCUCCUCAGAUUGCAUCUUUUCAUCCUCCUUUUGAUUGGAUUUAGAUGGGCUGGGAUCAAAUCCAACUUCUUUUCCACUUCACAAGGUGAUGGCUUUGGCAGAUUCGAAGCCUCCAUUUGGAUUCACAUCCGUCAAACUAGGUAACUUACCUUGUUCUCUACUAAAUUGCCCCAUGAAUUCAGCCAUUUGUCCCACUUGUCUCUUCAAUUCAGUCACCUCUCGAGCUUGAUUUUGCACUUCCUUGGCGUAAUUGUGCAUAUCUUUGGCUUGAUUUUCCUGACCCUUUACCAACGUAGUUAGUAACUGAAUAACUUGAGCAUUAUCAAAAGACAAACCUGAGUUAUUUUGGGCAGGUUGUGUUUGGGGUUGUGUGGGUGCAUACGGCCUUUGGUAGAAUCCCGGAGGUUGCUGUUUGAAUGCACUUUGUUGUUGGGUUUGUUGGGGCUCCCUCCAUUUGAAAUUUGGAUGAUCUUUCCAACCUGGAUUGUAUGUAUUCGAGAACGGAUCAUUUCUUGGUUGGUUUUGACUCCCAAAACCCACGGCAUUGGCAGAUUCCCACCCUCCAUUUUUGAUCAAUUGAGGGCACUUAUCCGUGAGGUGUCCUUGCAUUGAGCACACACCACAAGUAGCUACACUUUGUUCUUUUGGUUUUUCAACCACCUGUGAAAGAAGAGUAGUAAGAUUAGCCAUUUGAUUUUGAAGUUCGGAAAUAGCAAUUAAGGUCUUGGCAGCCAUGGGUGUUUUGUCCACCAAAGCUCCUUCCGCUGAGGCAUUUAGCAUUUGGCGUUCAAUGGGGAGGAGUCAUUCGUAGAAGUAUUGAAUGAGCAGCUCCUCAUUCAUUUGGUGUUGUGGACAUGAAGCAACCAGAGUUUUAAAACGUUCGUAAUAAGUUGGAAAUGAUUCACCUUGGUUUUGCUAAAUGCCACUAAUCCUUUUGCGUAGUAGAAUGACUCGAGAAGUUGGGAAAAACUUCUCCAAAAAUGCCUGUUUCAUACUCUCCCAUGAUGUGACAGUUUUGGGGGCUAGUUCAUACAACCAAUCUUUACCCUUUUCCAGAGAGAAAAGGGAAAAGCCUUCAUUUUCAGAAUGCUCCCAUCAACAUUCACAAGGGUCAUGCUCGAACAAACAACCUCAAACUCCUUCAAAUGUUUAUUAGGAUCUUCCAUGGAUAUUGAAUGCAUAAGGGCAUAGCAUUGUCCAAUCCCGAAGCGGAAAGCUUCUUGAUUGUUCGAUUGUCUACUGCCAUAUCUUAGACUUCUUCAAAAGUCCCUGCCGUGGCCUCCUCUUUCUCUUCUACUUUGUCUUCUUCAAGAUCUGGUGCAGGUUGAGGUGGUUGGGGUUCUUGUUGAUUCCUUGCUCGUCUCAAAGUUCGUUCAAAAUCGUCGUCAAAGUCAAGGAUGUACUUAUGAACAGGUUGAGAACUUUGAGUCAUAAACCACCUAAAACAAGAAAACAAGUAAAGUCAGCAACUAGGAACAAAAACACAUGAAAAUAAACAAAAAGAAAUAACAAGGGAUUAGCAAAAUUGCUAACCCCCGGCAACGGCACCACAAACUUGAUGCGGAAAUUAACUUAACACACAAAUUAAACCCUCUUUUGACAAUUGUAGUAUAUGUAUAAGUAGGGAUCGUUCUAGGCCGGGGAUUAUGAGGGAUUGCUAAUUGAUUCUAAACUGACUUAAAGACACAAAAACAAACUUAAAAACAAUAGGAUAGAUUCAAAAGACUCAAAACUAGUUCACAAGACUCAAAAUAAGAUAAAAAUACUCAAAACUGCCUAAAAACACCAACUAGCAGUUUCUGACACUAAACACAAUUUUGGACGAAAAUAAGGUUUGGGCUUGACUCAAAACACUUAGAACCCAAACAAAACAAGUUUAAAACAAUUUGAAACAAGAAAGUAAAGGGGGGUUGUGUUUUGGGCAAACUUAGAAUAACAAAACAAAUUGUAACUUAAAAAUAGGUUUGAAAACAAAUUUAGGAAAUUAGAUGGAUGAUGGGAUAACUAGAGGCUUUUCCUCCACACAUGACAUGUAUGCAAACAUCUUGAUUUCUAGUUACUACUUCAUUAAAUUAUGAACGACAAUGCUCCAAAUUAACCGUGAUAUCACUAGUUAACUCUUAGAUUUUCCUUGUUUUAUUGGAUUGGAUGACAUCAUUCGACAACCCAAAACAUUCUUCAAAAGUUUCCUACAUGACAUCAUAAUAGAGAUACCAUCAAAGAUCAUUACGUUUAAUGAAAAUCAUAAGCAUUGAUAAAGCACUUGCAACUAUGACAUCAUGUCACUCAUGCUAGGAAUUAAACUUAACGCGAUCGUUUAUAAGCGACCUUCACUACAUGUGAAUAUAAGUUUGUAACGAUUAUGUGAAACUUCCUUAUACUCUAGCAACGGAUUUAUGCAUGCCAAUUAAGUGUAGACCCUUAAUUAACAAAUACAAAUAAGUUAUCAAUCAAAUAGUUAAGCCAAUUGCAUUCACGAUUCAAGAAUUCAUAACUAGAAUGUAUCAAAUCAUAUUGUACACAUAAUCAUGGCUUUGAAAUCAUCCCUAGCCAAGAGGGAUUUAGCCACUCAUGUUCACAACAAAACGAAAGAAAAUGAAUUUAAACAUUGGAAACAAAAGAAAGAAAACACCUAAACGCUCCAACGAUCCAAGUUGGACAGCAAGCACGUCCAAGCACUUUACUUCCCUUCCUUUGCUACGGCACAAGGUGUUGGUGAGUGUUUGAAGGUUUGUUUGUAUGGAGGAAUGGAUGUGAAGAUGAAUGGAUGUGUUUGGAUGAAGGUUGUGUUGAAAUGGUGGUGAAUGCUCUAACAAAAUAUGAACUCCCUAUGGCUGCACACACACUCCUUUUAUAGAGGUAGUGCACGGCAUUUAGAGGGAAAAUGGAGUGGUGUGUACAGCAAUGAGUGCAAGUAGGGGACAUGAAUGACUGUACACAUGGUAGAGAAAGGAAAGGGAGGUGGAAUGGUGCAGAAAUGAGUCAAGGGUGAAGCAAGAGUCAUGAUGCACGGUAUGGGAAUCCAAAGGGAGUGCAAUGGUGCAUUAAUGAGUGCAAUGAUUCAAUGUAAUGGUGCAUGAAAUUAGAUUUGAUGGAGGAAACAAUGAAUGUUGCAGCAAUGAGUGCAAGGAGUGGAGGUUAAAGUGAUGAAAUGAUGCAUGAAAUCUGAAAUGAUGGAAGGAACAAGGAAUGGUGUAUCAAUUGAGUACAAGUAGGGAACAUGGAUGAUGAUGCACGGCAUGGGAAUGCAAGGGGAUUGCAAUGGUGCAUGAAAUCUGGAUCAAAUGAGUGGACAAUGGUGAUGGCACGGCAUUGAUGGAAAGUUGUGAAGGAGUGGUGCAUCAAAUGAGUGCAAGGAAUGGACAAUGAUGAUGGCACGGCAUGGAAGGUGAAUGGUGGAUUGACACCCCUUUGUGGCUGAGAUUAAGGCUUAUAGAAUCCUUAUUUAAUGUCCUAAUAUCUUUGGGAACCCUCCUUGUGGCUGGAACUUAGUUGGAUUAGGAUUAAGAAAGGUUAAAUCAAGAUAAGGUAAUUUUGACUCAUGUUUCUUCUUUGGUUGCUGAGCUCUUUGUCCUUUUUACAUUAAUUCCUCCUUCUCUUUAACACAUUCCUAGCCUCUUUAGUCUUCAAUUUCGUCCAUCCACCUUGCUCCAUGCAUGUGCUAUCCAUUCCAAGCCCAAAACUGCUCCAAAAUGCACCAAAAUGGACCUUAUUGCUUUAUAAGGCCUAUAGACCUACAAACACACGAAAAUAGCUUAAAAUACAUAAUUAACUAAGAAAUAACAACAUAAAUGCACAAGAGCAAGCUAACUAAGUCGCAUAAAUAUGCUCAUAUCAUGGAUACAUCUCUCUCAUUCGAUCAUCUGUCUCCCAAGUAGCUUCUUCCACUGAAUGAUUUCUUCAUAAUACUUUUACCAGGCCCACAGUCUUGUUCCUCAAUUCUUUAUCCUUCCAAUCCAAUAUAGUCAUUGGUUCCUCAUCAUAAGUCAAGUCUGAAUUGAUUUCCAAGGGUUGAGGAGCAAUCAUAUGUGAAGAAUCUGAAACAUAAUGUCGAAGCAUCGAAACAUGAAACACAUCGUGUACCUUGGACAACUCUGAAGGUAACUCAAGCCUGUAAGCAACCUCACCGACUUGCUCGGUGAUCAUAUAUGGUCCAAUGUACCUAGGACUUAACUUUCCUUUCUUUCCAAAUUGUACAACACCUUUCCAAGGUGAUAGCUUCAGAAAUACCCAAUCGCCCACAUCAUACUUCCGAUCAGUAGCAUGCUUGCCUGCUAAGCUCUUUUAUCGAUCUUGGGCCACUUUUAGGUUAAACUUAAUUACCUGAACAUUUUGACUAGUCACAUCCACAAUCUCAAGGUCCACCAAAACUCUUUCGCCAACCUCUGACCAACAUAGAGGCGUAAGACAAGAUUUCCCAUAAAGUGCCUCAAAUGGUGCCAUACCAAUGCUCGAAUGAUAACUGUUGUUGUAGGCAAACUCCAUCAGAUCCAAACAAUUAUGCCAACCAUCUCCAAACUGCAACACUGAAGAUCUCAAUAUAUCCUCUAAUGUCUUAAUGGUCCUCUCAGAUUGUCCCUCUGUCUGAAGAUGAUAUGCUGUACUAUAAAGUAAUCUCAUACCAAGAGCUUCCUAGAAUGCUAUCCAGAACUUGGAAGUAAAUAUGGGAUCCUGAUCCGAGAUAAUAUUAACUGGCACACCAUGAUACUUCACAAUCUGUGAUAUAAAUAACUUAGUUAAUCGGCUUAACGAAUAUUUCUCCCUCACUAGAAUAAAAUGCGCUGACUUUGUAAGCCGAUCAACUACCACCCAAAUGCCGUCAUAACCAUUCUGGGUACGAAGGAGCUUGUACACAAAAUCCAUAGUAAUAUUUUCCCAUUUCCACUGUGGAACGGGAAGUGGUUGCAUCAAUCCAAACGGCUUCUUUCUUUCAGCUUUAACCUGUUGGCAAAUGGCACACCUACUCACAUAUUCGAUAAUUUCUCUUUUCAUACCAGGCCAAUAAUAAAAUGGUCUAAUGGUAUGAUACAUCUUAGUGCCUCUUGGAUGCAUCGCAUAUGCUGAUAUAUGUGCUUCAUCCAAAAUUUCUUUCUUUAAUUCUACAUUAUUCGGCACAUAUAUCCUGCUUUCCUGCAUAAGCAUGCCAUCAAUUUCUCAAAUCUCAAAAUCUUUCUUUUUACCUUUGUUGAUGCACAAAAUCAGCGAGGACUUUGGUACAAGUGAAUCUGUCGGAAUACCUCAGAGUCCCCCGUACCUUCAUGUUCCUCUGGGACCUGUCAUUCCUUCCCUAGAUUGGCAGCUGGCAUGGGUCGUGGGAGGGGACCGACUCUUUCAGAAACCCUUGAGUCUUUCAGAUGAUGGUUGAUGUCCACAGUGGCAACGAGCUCGCGUGUUUGAGUACGCCUAGUUUCGUAGAGCAUCUCAAAUAGCUUCUCAUACUGCUCCUGGAGAACCUCAUUCUUCAUUGUUAUCUUGUUGUUCUGAGCUUCUAGCUCAUUGACUUUAGCUUGAAGAGCAACCCUCUUUCCUUGCUUCUUUCGUUACUUCGCACUAGAUGCAAGAAGGGUGUCAUUCUGUAUGUUGUGGCUUUCUUCGCUCCCCAUAUUGGAGAGGGAUGCCUGGUCAACAGAGAGUGUACGAAUUGUGGAAACCAGCUUGGCAAAGCUGAAGAGAAUGGGAAUAAGUGUCGUUCCCACAUACGGCACCAAAUGUUGAUACACAAAAUCAGCGAGGACUUUGGUACAACAGAAAGUGUUAAGUUUGUAACCUUCGCUAGAUUGCUCCAGUCACUAGUGUGGAUAAGUAAGUAAAUGGAUAGGGACAGGGAAGCAAACACAAGAUGUAUGUGCUUCACCCAGAUUGGCUACAUCCACGGAGUAGAGAAGUUCUCAUUAAUUGUGAAGGGUUUACACAAGUACAUAGGUUCAAGCUCUCCUUUAGUGAGUACUAGUGAAUGAUUUAGUAUAAAUGACCUUCAGAAAUAUUGUAAGAGAAUGAUCUCUAUUCAUAGAAGAGAGUUUCUAGUUUCAUUCUAACAUUGACACGUGUCGUGUUAUGAUUGGAUUUUGAUGUUGACAUGUGUCGCACUAUGAUUAGCUUCUGAUGUCGACACGUGUCGUGCUGUGAUUGGCCUCCUAGUUGGAGGGAAACUCUUCUGGGUCCUUGACGGUAUAACGUUAAUCGGUGCUUAGUAGUUUCGGGAUUGGUCAAGUAUGGUAUAAACAACCUUGGUUCCUUGCUUGAAUUAUUUCCUGGCUCUCCUCAUCAAUCAUCUGAGCCUCAAGCACACGAUCAAUUAAAACUGACCUAACAUGGAAAUUAGCAAGCAAGGAUUCUCCUCGAUCUUCCACUCAUAGGUCCACUCUAGUGGACCUCAAAUAUGCUAGAUGAGGAACAUGAUAAUCAUAGAUGGCAUUAAGUCAGGCUUGAGUCUUUCUACUAAGUGCGUCCGCCACCGCAUUUACACGACCAGGAUGGUACUCAAUCGUGCAAUCAUAGUCACUAAGUAACUCAAUCCACCUCCACUAACGAAGAUUAAGAUCUCUCUGAGUAAACAGAUACUGGAGACUCUUAUGAUCUGUGAAGAUCUUACAUUUCUCACCAUAAAGAUAAUGUCUCCAAAUCUUCAAAGCAAAGAUGAUAGCCGCUAACUCCAAAUCAUGUGUAGGGUAAUUCUUCUCAUGAGGUUUCAACUGUCUCGAAGCAUAAGCAAUUAUCCUACCAUGUUGCAUCAAUAUACAACCUAAACCAUUCAGAGAAGCAUCACUAUAAACCUCAUAAUUACCACUAUCAUCUGGAAGUGCUAUAACAGAUGCAUGGGUGAGAUAGUACUUCAAUUGCUGAAAACUUUGCUCACAUUCAUUAUCCCACUCAAACUUAACAUCCUUUCGUGUCAACCUCGUCAAUGGCAAAGCAAUCACUGAAAAAUCCUUAACGAACCGUCUAUAAUAGCCUGCUAAGCCAAGAAAACUCCAUACCUCAGUGAUGGUUCGAGGUUGCUCCUAAUUCUCCACAACUGCCACUUUCUGAGAAUCCACUUGAAUGCCUUGAGCAGAAAUGACAUAUCCCAAAAAUGCCAUUUGAUUCAACCAGAAUUCACAUUUGCUAAACUGAGCAUAUAGUUGGUGAUCCCACAAACUGCUCAAUACCAACUUCAGAUGUCUAUCAUGCUCAACCUUAGACUUAGAGUAUACCAAGCUAUCGUCAAUGAAGACAAUAACAAACCUGUCCAAAAAUGGCUGGAAUACUCGAUUCAUCAAAUCCAUAAAAGCUGUUGGUGCAUUAGUUAACCUGAAUGGCAUCACAAGAAACUCAUAAUGACCAUCAAGUCAUGAAUGCGGUUUUAAGGACAUCUUCAUUUUUAAUCUUCAACUGAUAGUAUCCCGACCUCAAGUCAAUCUUAGAAAAUACACAGGAGCCUCUGAGUUGAUCAAAUAAAUCAUCUAUAUAAGGCAAUGGAUAACGGUUCUUAAUGGUUACCCGAUUCAAUUGCCUGUAAUCGAUGCACAACCUCAAAGUUCCAUCUUUCUUCCUCACAAAUAAAACUGGAGCUCCCCAAGGUGAAGUACUUGGCUGAAUAAAACCUUUAUCCACUAACUCUUGUAACUGCACUUUUAAUUCCCUUAACUCAGCAGGAGCUAUUCUAUAAGGAGUUAAAGAUAUAGGAUUAGUACCUAGAAGCAGAUCAAUAACAAACUCCAACUCUCUAUCUGGCGGCAAUCCAGGCAGAUCCUCAAGGAAUACAUCCGGAAAAUAUCUGACCACACAAACAUCCUCCACACUACUAAGAGUAUCAUCAUUCAACACCACAUGAGCCAAAUAUCCCUGACAACCUUUCGACAACAAUCUCUUUGCUUUCAUGGCUGAAAUAAUACCAUGCCUCAACCCACUAGGCUCUCCUACAAAUGUAACUUCAGGUAAUCCAGGACAAUGAAAUGUGACUGUCUUCCCAUAACAAUCUAUCUUGGCACGAUUAUAGUGCAACCAAUAAGUGCCCAAAAUCACAUCAAAAUCCAUAAUAUCCAACGGCAUAAGAUUAGCUGGCAUAAUAAUACCUUCUACAAUCACUAGACAUCCUGGAUAUACCCGAUCCACAAAACAGAUAUCCCCUCUAGGCAUAGAAAAUUCUAAAUUAUAUCCUAGAGGUGUAGGAUAAGGUUGUGUCACUUGAGCAAAUGUAUGAGAAAUAACAAAAUGUGUAGCACCACAAUCAAUCAACAUUCUAGCAAAAUGACCAAGAAUAUUUAACGUACCCAUGAUUAAAUCUGGAUUAUUCUGGGCAUCUUGCAGUGACAUGUUAUGGAUACGUGCCUGGUUCUGCUAUCGUCCACUGCAACCUCUGUUGGCAUGAACCCCACGUCCUUGCCUCUGCUGACCCGACUGCCUCGAAGAUCAUGCACUACUAGUAGCAAUCUCUCUCUGCUGGGGCUGUCCCCCUUGAUACCACUAAGAUCCUCCGGCUGAAUGAGGUUGAUAAGACAUAGAUCCUCCCUGGUACUGUGGGUAUGCACUCUGAUACUGAAGAUCUCGAGAGUACUGCUGCUGACCUGAGGUAGAGGGAAUGGCAUCGCCCUAAUAGUGGUAGGCACCUCCUCGUCCAGUCUGAGUAUAACCACCAAAUCCUGAAGCGUGCUGGGUAGGUGCAUGAGGUGGGAAGAAAGGCUGUUAGGGUCUCUGCUGACUUUGAGGGCAUUGAGCAGCCUUAUGACCCAUCUGUCCACAAGUAAAACAUCCAUUGUUGCCUCUCCUACACUUCCCAAAAUGCCGAUUAUUACACCUACGGCAUAAAGGAGCACCGGAUCCACCUGAGCCACCAAAAUCUCUCUGUCUCUGGAACCUCGGACCUCCUGUGAAUCUACCACCUCUCCUUUGCAUAUUAGUAUUCAAUCCCCCGCUAGAAGAGCUGGAACUGCCACUACUCCUCUUAAAGUUCUGAGUCUUAUGGGGUCCCUAAAAUGCUUGCCUUUUUCCUUUAUCAUCUCGUCUCUAGCCCCCAUUCUUUCCUUCCUUAUUCUCACUUUCACUAGGCAUGUUCUCUGAGACCUCAAUCCUCAGUAGAAUCUCAUAAAACUUCUGGUAAGAGGCACAUUAAGUCGAUGUCGCUAUGGAACGUAAUUUCUUCUUAGUACCCAAACUGAAACGGCGAAGCAUCUUUACCGAAUUAGCAGCAACCUCCGGAUCAUAUCUCGACAGAUCAGUAAACAUCCUGUAAUACUCAUUAGUAGACAUAUUUCCUUGCCUUAGAUGAGUAAACUCUUGUUUCUUAAGAUCGAUAUACGCAUGAGGAAUGAGCCUUUUCCGAAACCGCUCCUUAAACACUCACAAGUCCACAAUCUCCUCUGGGGUCAUCUCGUAAGACUCUUAUCUCCAUCAAGAUGCAGGCUGUUCUCCCAAAAACCAGGUAGUCAUCUCGACCCACCUAUCAGGAGGAAAAUUCCCCUGACUCUGCAUCACCUGGAAGGUCUUCUCCACAUGAUUCAACCAUUUUUCUGCCCCCUCAUGACCUUCAUUACCCAUGAAGUGAGUCAACUUCAGAUUAUGGACUCUCUCAAGAGGUGUCCUCUGGGGAGUACGGAAUGUUGUCUGAAUGGUAAAAACUAUAGCUUCCCCUAAUUGAGCAAUAUCAGGGAAACUAGAUUCAGCUGGUUGACGGGGCUCUCUACAAGGCAGCAUAGUUCUGACAUAAGACAUCACAAGGAUUAGAACAUUCAAGAAUUAUACAUGACUGCAAAACCUAGGCUCUAAUACCAAACUAACACACCCCGAUCGAGGUUAAGGCAUGCUGGCCGUCACGUGAGGAUGACGUAGCCAUGUGCACAGUGCGGAAGCGAUAAAGAUAGCAACUAUACGAAUAAUUAAAAACCAGAUUACUAGAGUGCACUACUAAACGAAAGUGAUAGGAGUUAGUUACAACAGUAAACACUCAUAAUCAGAGCAUAAAGUCGAGGUGCAGUCCAGUAGGAUAAGUACUAGUUACACAGUACCAGAAAUGUCCUACUAUUAUUCAAAUAGGUCAGAACUGCCAACGAUCCCAAGCCACCGACAGUAAGCUUACUUAAAACCUGGAGGGGCGCAAAACAGAAAACGUGAGUGGGCAAAAACAAAUGUUUUACAAAACCAUUUCAUUUAACAACAUAUCUAACCCCUCACUGUAAAAUAUGUAUAAUUUUUCCCAGAAUCAAGAUAUAAGCAUAUACAUAAAUAUAUAUGAAAUCAUAUCAAUUCAAUUCAUACUUCACAUAAUCAUAUUCAUAUGUAUGCCAUGCCAAAAUAUAACAAAGUAAACAAUCCAAGCAAGAAUGAUUUCAUAGAAACGUGAUAUGUUAGCUGGAACCCCUGAGGUAGUCUGUACGGCUGAAUUCAUAGCUCAAAAGUCAAUCUAGCCGAAGUCAUUACAAUGACCUAUACGGCAAUAUACUGCACAUAAGUCGGAACCACUAAAGAGGGUCUGUACGACAAGAUUGGGUGAAAUAUAAUUAUGCUCAAUUCCAUUCUCUCAUAAUAGUCGGGCGAUGAAUCGCUAGUCACCUACAAGUCGGAACCAUGAAUAAGGUCUGUACGACAAGACUGUGCACUUAAGUUGGAUCCAAUAUGAGCAUAUAGUGCGGGAGGUGACGUAAAUAAACAGGCCUGUAAUUCAUAUCUCUGGCUAAUUCACAAUCACCCUAGGUGCAGCUUUAUGAGUUCAACAUUACUUAAUCACAUAUCACAUAUCACAUCAUCGAUGAUUCACACAACCAAACAUAACUUACCUAAACUCACAUGUGCCUCCACAGCACCACAUAUAUAUAUAUAUAUAUAUAUAUAUAUAUAUAUAUGCAACCAUGCAAUGCAUAUUCAGAAUAUAGCAGCAUUUGGCAUAAUAUUUUAAAGCAUACUUUCCUUAAAAUGCAUUUCUAGGAAAUAUAUCAAGUAUAUAAAUAUAUACAGAAAACAAAAGCCCACUCACUGAUAUGUCAAAGGGUCGUAGCCCCCGAGUCGCCCAUGGAUACGCUCGUCCUCGGGAUAAGUCUCACCUAUAUGCGAAUUAACUAUAAAAACGUUAUUUUUAAAGCACAUAGGCAAACUAACUAAUAACUUCUCAUACAUUGCUCAAAAUAGGUAUAUGAAUAUACCACAGUGAUCUAUAUAACCUCAGGAUCAUCCCCAUAUUUUUAGAAAUAUUUUUGGACCACCCACGCGCCGCCACGCGCCGGCGGGUGCACAGCAAAACGCGCCACCACGCGCAGGGAAUCCUGAUGGAUUCCCUAACUGCCGUUAGGAAUAUUCCUGGGAAUAUUCCGUUAAAACCCAACGGAAAUCGUCCAAAUUAACUGACGCCGUGAGAAUAUUCCAUCCAAACUGACAGAAUAUUUCUUCUUUGUCCCCAGCAAGUCGUCGGUCGCCGAAAAAUGGCGUUAUACCUAUUUAGAGCUUCAAAUCUCACAAAAUCAAGUCGGGGAAGCUUUGAAAUUCCGACUAAACCUGCAACUCUUCGUUUCCCACGAUCCCGACGUCCAACUUCUUCAAAUGAACUACCCCGAGACUCGUGAGGACCUCAUUAAGCUUCCUAUGAGCUUAGGUUUCACGGGGUUUUCGAAGGUUUCAGGUUCUAAAACUUGUACCAAUGGACUCCUGAGGUCAUAAGGAACACGAAAUUGCUUACCUUGGUUUCGAUCUGCAAGGUUUGAGAUGGUUCUUGGAUUUCCCGUACGAAAAUGCCGAGAGGAAGAGAAAGAAGUCCAUGGGAGAGAGAGAAGGUAUGUGUGUGGUCCAAAAGCCACCAAUCAAAAAUCAAUAAUUCCCUUACUUCCAAUUUGGAUCCAACUACUUAGGGAAAAAUAAUAAAUGGGUCCAAAUCCAACUUAAAUCACACAAUACACUUUAAGAUCCAAGGGUAAAAUUGUCAUCGAAAAUAAUCUUCUGGGGCGGGCUGUGACAUUCACAAUCUAUAAACUCACCUAGAACUUACCUGAGUGUCCUCAACAUCAACAAUAACAUAUGCAACUACUAAAUGCAUAUUCUAAAUAAUAAACAUUUGGCAUGGCAUUUCAAAGCAUAAAACCAUUUAAAUAAGUUUUCUGGGAAAAAUACCAAGCAUAUAUAUAUAUAUAUAUAUAUAUAUAUAUAUUGAAAACCAAAAGCCCACUCAGUGAUAUGUGGAAGGGUCGUAACCCCCGAGCCUCGCCUGACUACGCUCGUCCUUAGAAAACGUCUCACUUAUAUGUGAAACAAGUAUUUUAACGUUAUUUUAAGCACAUAAUCAAAACUAGGAAAUAACUUCUCAUACGUUGCUCAAUUGAGGUGUUUGAAUAUACCAUCGUGGCCUACUCAACACCACGAACAUCCCCAUAUUUUUAGAAAAAUUUUCUAAGUUCCCACGUGCAGGCACGUGCUUGGCACGUUGGACGGAAUCUCUAACGGUGUUAGGGAAUAUUCAGUUAAAUAAUGGAAUAUACCGUUUAAUUUACCUGACACCGUUAGCCGUCAAAGUUGACGGAAUAUUCCCCUUCUCCUUCCUUGGUUUGCCAGAGUCCAACGCCGGUCACCGCUGCACUCGCCAGAAACUAGAAAACUGAAAAACUUCAAUAUCUCUUCCAUUUCAACACAAAAAUUCAUGAAAUUUGUACCAAAAUGAAGUUCUUAACUACGAGAACAUGAUCUUACCACUUUGGAGUCCUAAAACCAACAGAAUUUAGCAGGAAUAAUUUCGUGGAAACCGGCUAAGUCUGCAACUCGUUGAACUCGAGUGUCCCGACGUCCAAAACCUUCCAAAAUUCCUCUAACAACUUAGCAGAGUCGUUUUAAGACUCUCUCGUACCUUAAAACCCUGUGAAAUACUCGCGAUCAAGCUCGAGCAACAUGGCACCUAGUCGGAGCUCACAGGUUCUCAGGUUCUCGAAGUCCUCACGUCAAACUAAUGGUAUGGUUAGACUCCUGAGCUUGCAAGGAACUUGAAGGUAACUACCACUAGCUCGAUCUACAAUGGUUUGAAGGGAUUUGGGCUGGUUUUCAGUGUACGGAAAGGGAGAGGGUUCGAGAACGAAAGAGAGAGUAUGGGAAAGGUUGCACGUGUGAGUGUGUGUAUGUGUGUUUUGAUCUGGAUUGGGCACCCACCUAAUAUCCCUAAGUUCUAAUUAGGCUAUUCAAACUUGGUCCUAACAACCCUACAAUUUCAAUUGGAUCCCAAAACUUAGGAAAUUAGAUAAUUGGUCCAUUCUUUUAGCCCUUUGUUUUCUUCCAUUUUCUUAAUCCAUUAAUACUAUCACAACCCAAUGCUCAAGGGUAAAAUAGUCAUUUCCACUCUAUCGGGGAUAAAUAAAUAUAAAUUCGGGACAGGUCUUCACAACUUUCAUAUCAAUUUUUUGUUAUAAUUAUCAUACAUUUAAAAAGGUGGCUAGAAUUCUAUUUAAGAUCCCAAAUUUGGUUAGUUUUCCAAAUUUCCCAAUAGUUCCCAACGUCAAUUAUUUAACAAGACCUUGAAUAUAUAAGAUUACUAUUAUAUUUGAUUUUUUUGCUAGGAACUAUUAUAUAUUAUUUAUUACAUAUUUUAAGGUUCCGAAAGUUGAACAGUGCGAAUAUAUCGAAGGAAUUCACAAAUGCAUGAUGCGGAUUAUUCAUGAAUCCUUUUGAUUAUUUGGAAUAUUAAAACACUAUUUUUGUUUGAAUACAAAUAUACUAUACGAUGUCACCAAAGAAUAAAAAAUGCGUUCAAGUGUGGAGAGCUCUAUAAUUUAGAACGCACAAACAAUACUUUAUUUGGUAUUUCUCUUCAUGCAUUCGUUCAUUUCUUAUUCAUUUCUCCGCAACCCUAGUGAUGAUGAUCAACUAGAAGAUAGUUUCAUAUAAACGUAGUUGUUUAUACAUAUGCGGUGGUUCAAACUGUGGAAAUCUUUUUCAACCAAAAAAACAUGCGGACAUCUUAGUUUAGUAAUUAAGCAUACUAGUCUCAUAAUUAAGCAUACUAGUCUCGUAAUUUUACUGUUUAAUUGCGGGGAUCCUAUUUGUGUUUAGUAACUUUACUAUGUACGAUCAAUUUUCGUCAGGUAUUAUUUGUGUUUAAUUUUAAAUAAAAAAAGUUAAAUAAUUUCUAACUGCACUAUGUACGAAUGACUAAGAUAUCAGGAUCCCUAAAAUCCCUACAAUUGAUGGGAUCCAAAUCCCAAAACAUACGUGUGUAAAUAUCUUGUGCACUCAAUUAUCUUGGUCAAGGUUUUUAAUUAUUUAUGUAUCGCCAAAGUCCAAAUAUUCUUUUGUGAUAAAAAAUCCCAUUUUCUAGCAUAACUUUUUGGACCUAGAUUUAGCAGACUUCACGUGGUGUAAUUUGAGUUCUCAUAUGUGUCAAGAGGUGUGGCCAGAAAGUUACGGUAAUGGGAUCAUGAACAAGCAAGUUUCGAAAAUUAAGUAUACUUUCAUUUAUAAUUGGCAACUACGUAUUCUUAUAUUUUAGAACGUCGAAUGAUAACAUUAUCAAUAGAAAUACAUUUCAUUGUAUAUAAACAAAUUAUCAUUAAACCAUUGAUUUCCAAUUACUUUUUUAUUGUAUGCAACCAAGUUAUUAUUUAACCAUUGAGUAUCUAUAUAAUGUCGAUUCUUUAUAAUAUUAAUCACUAAAAAACCUCUCUCUAUUUUGGAAAGGUUAUAGUUUUAAUUAUGAAAAUAUCAAUAAAUGGUCACUCUAUUUUGUUUGACUUAACUAUUGUUGGGGUCAUAUAAAAAUUUCAAGGGGAGGAUAUUUGAAGUUGUUGGGUCAGUGGCAGUUAAUGUCCCUUGUUGGCUCCGCAACUGGUCUAGAGUCAAGUCAUUAGUUUGUUUUUUUUUUGGUCAAACAAGUCAUCAGUUUGUUAUUCACAAAGUGACCUAUGGCCACUAUUCACUAUGAUCUGUGCCCAAUUCUAAACAGGGGAGUAGUAUUGCCGUACUCAUUUUUACUUCUCAUACACUUAACUUAAUUUUUGUCUGUCAAAUAGAAUAAAUUAAAGAAGAUUAUUGACAAAAAUUAACAAGAGUUGUAGUAAUACCAUUGGACAAAUUACUAAUGUGUUUAUAGAUAAAAUUAAGUUAAAAUAGUGAGUUGGGCGACCGAGUGUCACAUCAAAUAAGAACUACAAUUUAGUCCGACAAUCAUGAAUGUUUAUUUCAACACUUAUUAACUAGUAACAAAGGUCUAAAAUAUCGAUGAUAUUGGAAAUAUUGGUAGUUCAAAAAUACGAAAAUUUCGAUAGAAAUAUUGGGAUAUUAUCGAUAUCGAUAAAAAUUGAAUAAAAACCAUGGAAAUUGUAAGAAAAACUUAGAAACUUUUAUUGAAACUUUGCAAGAUGUUUAUUUAGUCAAUUAUCUAUUAGUUUAUCACAAAAAAUUGGAAGGGAAUGCAUUGCAUGAUGGAUUUAACUGAUUUAAGUUAAUUAUAUAGCGAGCUGGCAAACAUUGUGAGUGUAAAAAAUAUGUAGUAAUUAAUGAAAGAAGUUUAAACACACCAUAAUCAUUUAUAUAUAAUGAAUUAGUACAAUAUUUUACACAUUAUACAUUGCAUGGUAAGAUACAUGAGUGACUUAGUACCAUAUAGAGUUCCUAUCAAGAUCCAAAAUAUCGAUGAUAUCGGAAAUAUCAGUAGUCCAAAAACACGAAAAUUUCGAUGAAAAUAUCGGAAUAAUAUCAAUAUUUUAGACCUUGCUAGUAACUACCAUGCCAAAACCCUCACAUGCCCAACUUUGGAUUACUAACUGAACGCUAAAUCGACAGAGAGUUGUCACCCUAACCCACAAGUAGAAAGAACUAGGGCCUCCCAGCACCACCAAAAAUCAAACAGCACUGUCGUGGCAUUGGUUUCCGGCAGGCCCAGCUCAGGCCCAGUGCGGGCAGGGCGACCGUCCGGGACUCCAAAAAAUUGGAGGCACCAAAAUUAUUAGGGUGGUAUAUUUAUAUAAAAGUAUAAAUUUAUAAAAUUUGGUUUAGUGACAAAGAAAUUUAACUAAAAGUAGUGGUUUUGUUGUUUAAAAUGAAUGAGGAGGUCUUAGGUUCAAAACACCAUGUGUGCUUAUUUACAUUCCAAUUUUUACAAAUUUCUUUUCAUAACAGUAUAAAUUUAUAUAAUUUGGCUAAAUGAUCAAGAAGUUUAAUUAGAAGCAAUGGUUUUUGUCGUUUAAAAUUAAUGAGAGGUCCUAAGUUCGAAAUGCUAUGUGCAUGUUUAUUUUUUUCAAUUUUUACCAAUUUUUGUUUGGUUGUUAAUUUAUUUACUAGUUAGUAGCUAUGUGGGUUGCUAUUUUUAAAUAUCCAUUCCAAUUCAAGUCUAAUCUUCAGCAAAGAAUGCGUAGAAUAAACUUUUAGACCAAAUUUGAAAAUAAUAUUACGUGUCGUCAAAAUGUUUAAUUUAGUAUUCAUUCAUUACUUAUACAUAUCCUUAAAGACUCAAAAACAUUAAUAUUUUUUUAGUCUUAUAUUGACGAGGUUAAUAAAUAAGAAAAAAUAACUCACGAUUUAUACAAAAACACUUUAAAAGUUCAGAUGGAAAACAAAACUCAUACUCUAUCUACUUGUAAGCCCAAAGUUUUUUAAUUUCCUUCUUUUGAUACAAAAUAAAUUAAUUAUUCUAUGUUUCUAAAUUAUUGAAUUUGAAGUGUUUUUCUAAAUAUAAUUUUAUUGAUGUUUUACAUGUGAAAAUAAAUAUUUUUUUUAUAUGAAAUAAGGGCACAUUUUUUUAUGUUGCCUCGGACCUUAAAAAUCACUCGACCGGCCCUGGUUUCCGGCAGUAGGUCCCGUCGAGUGGAUGGUGAGGCGGUGUUAGAUUGAAUAUGCCCUUUUCCUUCUUGUUCUUGAUGGGAUCUCUUUUUUCUUUUAUUUAAGCUUUUUGAUCAUGUUAUUAAUCAUGUUUAACAAUUAACACACAUGCAUGAUGAAUAUUGCAUACGCUAGGUUUGUCUGGUGUCGUUUAGGACGAUACUCAGCGAGUGUGAGGCAGAGAUUAACACUGGAAGGGGCAUACUGAGUGGGACCCGAUUUCCGUGAUUUUCUGGUUAAUUACCUAUUAUUAAUUUGGGUAAAUCUCAGUUUACUAUCCUUAAAUUUCAUGAUUUUCAAUAUUUGUUACAUUAAGUUGUUUUGUUCCAGAGUCAUACCUAAAGUGUUAAUUUUGAGACAUUCUUAUACAUCUGUUAGUCUAGCUAUUAAGUCUCCCGUUAACUGAUGACGUGGCAUCCAUGUGAACAAUGACUAUGCACCACGUGUCAUUAAGGUACACGUGGAAAUUAAAAUUUCAAAAAAAAAAUUAAUAAUAAUUUUGGUCGUCUUCCCCGACCUUCUUCCUCCUUUAUCCCAAACCCUUCUCUCCUCUGCACCAGCCCACCAAACCCUUCUCUCCUCUCCUCUUGGACUCGUCAUACAUCCACCAUUCCCCCUCCAUCUUCGACUCCACCCAUCCACCCACCCACCCACCUCCCCCAUCAAUUUCCACACAACAUAACAACACUUCUUAAGAUCUAAAUAUUCCAAAAUUUAAUUUCUGAUCCCACAUUUUCUCACCAAGCAAACAGAGCAACACAAAAAAUACCCAAAACUUCACGAAGAUUCAAUCUGAAUAUAUCACAAAUAAACCAAUACUUUGCCCCACACACCUAAUGCUAAAACAAGAAAACAUAAAACAAAAACGAUAGCGGAGAACUCACCGCAGACGCCGUGGACAACCCUGCCAUACGCCAAAACAUGGUUGAAUUGAGAAGAGAAAAUGGUCUCCGCGCGGCGAACUGGAGUUGGAUUUGCAAAACCCGGGGAAACGAACCUUAGCGCGCCCUCACAAAAUCCCCAAACCGAGGAUUCACUAAUCGCCGAACUGCCCAAAACGUCGAAAGUGAUCCAGGCAUACGAUGCAAAAACCCUAGAAAUUGGAAGCUGCAAAAUUGAUUUGGAUCUAAAUCGAGGGCCAGUCAAAGAUGGAAGAACUCGAUGAAGCCUGCAAUCAUGGGCAGAGGUGAGAGGGAGAUAUAGAGUGUGUUGUUGGAAAUGAAAUCGAAGCCGCAGAAUCGUAAUCAACCGGUCCGAUGCCCAAAUCGAUCCAGAUAUACUGGUAUUUCCCGGUUCAAAUGCUGCCCAAACACUUGGUGAAUGCAGGGGAAGAGUCCCUAGAUUCGUAAUUGUAAGCAUAGGGUUUGGAUUGCUACCCAAACACUUGAUGAUUUGGUCGAUUAAGUCGUAGGGGAUAAAGAGCAGCGGCGAUCGGAGGCUGGAGGUGGUUUUGGCGAGCUCCAAGCUUAGGGUUUUGGUGAGGACGGAGGCGAGAUAGGGGGAGUGAGAAACGUCGAGGUGAAGAAAGUGUUGGACGGUGAGGCGGUGAGAGAAGGAUUCGUAGGGGGCGAUAACGUGGAAGUGGUUUGAGGGUUGGGAAGUGGAGGUGAGGAAGGAAGAGAGGAGGGCGGCAGAGCUAGAUGGGAAGGAAGGGCUGACGAGGUAGACGUGAAGAGAGGGGGGAGGGAGAGGAAGUGGAGAGAGGAAAUGAAGGAGUGGGGGUAGUGGCCAUGGAGAAAGGAGAGAGAAGGGAGGGACGGUCGAGGUUGAGGAAGAACAUCCUUUUUUUUUGUAAUUUUUUAUUUUUUAAAUUUUUUUUAAUAUCCACGUGGAACCUUUAUUGACACGUGGUGCUCAGUCAUUGUCCACGUGGGUGCCACAUCAUUAGUUAACGGAAGACUUAACGGUUUGACUAACAGAUGUAUGAGACUGUCCCAAAAUUUAUAUAACUCUGGGACAAAAAAAAACUUGAUGUACUAAAUAUUGAGAACAACGAAACACGAGGGUGGUAAACUGAUAUUUACCCUAUUAAUUUGUACGGAAUUUUAAAGAAAAGUUUAUAGUACUGUUCAUUUUAUCGAAAAACCAUAUUUUUACACUAAAAAAUUAAUCCUAGUACUAUUCGCUUUACUCUUUAUUUUGUCAUUCUCGUUAAAAUUCAAAGUUUUCAAAUCAGUUUCAUUAGUUUUCCUAAUUUGUAACAUUGUUGUCUUAGUUAUUCAAUCUGCAAAAUUUUUUGGUCCUAUUUGUUGAAAAAUAAUGUAAACACAAGAGUUUUUGCAAUGAAUAUAAAAAAGCGUAGGAUUGUAUUCUCUCUGUGACUAUUCGUUAUAAAAAUAAUCUUUUAAUUCGAUCUUCAAAAUUUGAUGUAGGAGUGGUUGGGCAAAAACUUGUAUUGGAAGUGGAUUUGGUCAAGCGCUGAUCUUGAGUAAAAUGAGACCACUGAGUUUGUUGUGCUUGGUGACAUGUUCAAGUGGAUUAUUCAAGUGGAUUAAAAUCUCAAGAGUUGUUUGUAUAAUUUAUCAAGAAAGUAGGGAAAUAUGCCAAUUCAUGUGGGUUUCUUAGCUGAUGGAGUUUUGUAAAAACACAAUAAGCUCAAGAGGAUGUCAGUAUAAUUAAUCUUUUUUUAUGAGUAAUGUUGUUUGGACACACAAAACUUACUGCCAUACUCUAAUACAGUUGUCGAAGUGAAUUUAUGAUUUUAUUUUAAUUUGAGCUAAUUGAUUUAGUUUUUAAUUCCCUUCCCUUCUCAAUAAUGAAGCAAAAGUGUUCCAAAUGUCCAUUUUAAAUCCCAUCUCUCUUCCCCCUUCUACAAGAAUACUUAAUAAGAAAAAAAUGAAUAGUAAAGUGGAAAGUAAUUCCUUUGGUCCAGAUGUGGCCAAUAAAGAAAGAAUGAUUUAUCAAUAUAUUCGAGAAUGAUUUAUAUGAAAUAAAUUUACUGCUAACUUAAUAUCAUAAUUUAAUAAUACAAUAUCGCGUAUAACUUUUUUUAUACAUAACACUACACUUUUAAACUGAAACGUCACGUUAAUAGUAAACUCAUUCUAUAUAAGUUGUUUUCUACUACAUACUCCACAAGCUCUGACAUGACAACAAGAUUUCAUUGAUCUACGUUGACCCAGAACUAGGGAUGGGCAAAUACCCAUUGGUUAUGAGUAACCGCGAUUACCCGCCCAUUUAAAUUAAACGGUUACGGUUAUGGGGUAACCGUUUAGAUAAAUAAACGGUUAUGGGUAUAACCGUUUACCCACGAAAUUUAAAUGGGCGGUUAUGGGUAUUAACCGCGGUUAUAAACGGGUAACCGUUUACCCAUUUAUUUUAUAUAUGUAAAACUAACACAAAUCAUGUUCUUGAUCCAAUAAUACUUAGCACCCAAUAAAUUAGCAAGGAAUUCAUCGGUCCUUCUCUCAAUAACACUGCUACAGGAAUGAUGAUUCUCAUCAUCAAGGAAUUCGUCAUAUUAAUUUAAAUUCUUUGCGGGUAACCAUGAAAUUGACAGAAAUACUUUGACAUAAAUGUCUUCUAAACAAUUUUUGUAACCCAAUAAUACUUAGCAAAAAUUAUAUUUACCUUCAUUGGUAACAGUUAAAAAUAUCGUCCGUAAACUAUUAUUUCAAUUAUUGGAAUGGUAUAAGAACUUAAAAAAUUAAAAUACGGAAAUAUAUUAUGAAUGUACCUAUAACGGUGUUUAAUUAUAAAAAAAAAUUAUGAAAUUUUUUUUUAAAAUUUUCAAGUUGUUAAUAAACAUGUAGACGGGUGAAAAAUCGGUAAUGGUAAAAAAAAAAAAAAAAGAUAAACGGGUUAAAAUGGGUAAAUGGGUAUUAAACGAUUACGGUUAAAUGGCUAUGAGAUUAUGGGUAUGGGUAUAACCAUUUAGACAAUUACUUAAUGGGUAAACGGUUAUGCGGGUAUGAGUAUAAACAGUUAUGGGUAAAUAACCGCGGUUACCCGCCCACCAUAACAGUUGCCCAUCCCUACCAAGAACCAAAGGCCAAGCAAUUUUAUAGGUAGGUCUAAUCUAAGGUUACGUAAAGUUCAUUGAUUAUAAUCUUCUCAAUUCUGAAAAAGCAAAUACCAGAUUAGUGAGGCAGGGUGUUUUGGUUCAAGAUCAUGAGGGUUUUCAAGUUUCGAACCCAAGUUUAUAAUUUGAAACCUCUUUGUUUUAUGGAUCAAAAUCUCAGCUCACCAGUAUUAAACGUUGACAAAAUGUUGCAUGCUUCACGUUAAUUUUGGUAUAAUUUAAAAUUAUCAGAUGGACAUGGACCCCAACAACAGCAACACCAAUGUGGUUAAUGGUGGGUUCAUCAAUUCUUAAUUGGGAAAUUUUAUUUAAACUCAUCUAAUCUAUUUAUACACCCAACUUAUUUUUUGCACACAUUUGAUUUUUAACUAACCUAUUAAUAUCUCUUUAAACCCAAAUUUAAUACCUAAUAUACCCUAUAAACCCAAUUCAAUAUGUGGAUUUAUUUUUACACCCAUUGAAUUUUUAACUCAAAAGCUGCCGCUGUGUCACUUGACUUCUUAUAGUAAAGGGUUUACCUCCUUAAACUUCUCCUCCUUCUCUUUGUAAUUGGACAAAGCAACUACUUCUACCUUCAUAUUAAAAAAUGAAGUACCAGAGACAAUAGGCUUUGAUUAAUAAGAACAUUAUACAAUGCAAACAUGCCCAGAGAGUAGAGAAGAAUAACUCAUAUUCUUAGUACUAGUAACGAGGAAACAACUAAGAUAAUGCAAGGGAAUCAUGGUUACCGGGUCCUUUCACACCAGACAUUUUUUCAUCAUACGUAAGUAGUAAUUCAAAAGGAGGUUUAAUGUAUAAACAUAUGGGAAGAAGGAUAGGUAGGAUAUUUUGCGGACUACUAGGGUUGGACUUGAAGGCAAGAAAUCAUUAGAAUUUCAUAAUUGCUUCCGGAAUUUGGGGCAGCAACUGCUUCAUAAUUUUAUUUUAUUUUUGUGUCAUGGCGAUUAAGCCAAAGGCUAUCAACAAAAUAUGAGGAGUAAACAUAUGCUUUCGUUGUUGUUUGUUUUAGCCGGAAGGUAGGAUGCUUUCGUUGUAUUUGUUGAAAAAAAUUACAGUAAAGUAACUUCUACACUCUAAAAAAUUGAAAUUAAACGAACAAAAAUUUCAUAAAUUGAGUCAUACUUUGGUUGGACGAUUCAAAACUUCAAAAUCACCAUCCAUCAAUAAAAAAAAAAACUUGUUUUUCUCUAUGAGAGCUAUUAGGGUUUUAGUCAGAAUGAAUGUAGGAUAAACAAAGAGUGAUCAUAGGGUUUAAUUAUAGUGUUUGGGUUUAUUGAUAAAUUUGAGUUUUAUUAUUAAUUUCAUUUUUGUACUUAAUAGUAAUUAUGUAAUAGGAUAAAAUAGACAAUUAAUAUUUAAAAUUUAAGUUGGAUAUAAAAAGAGAUUAAAUAAGUUUAAAUAAAAUUUCCCUUAUUAAUUCUUAUGCCUGAAACUAACCCAAUAAGCAAGCAUACUUCACACCCCCAUUAUUAACGUGGUUAAUGAAUUGUAGUCGGCAGCUCUAGCUAGGUGGGAGACUAGUGUGGCCCAUUUUUUAUUUAAAUUUUAUUGCGGAGUGCAAGGUAAAUUAUACAAUUAAGAAAAGAAAAUAAAGAAAAGGUAAAUUAUACAAAAUAAAAACAAACAAAAAAAAGAGAAGAAGAGUAAAGAAAAGUGGAGGUCCUUAGGCUAUCUCCAACCGAAGGGUCCAAAGGGCCAGAGGGCCGAAAAUAGUCCAAAAACCGUCUCCAACCGAGGGCUAGACCAGAGGGCUCGAGAAUCUGGGAGGGCCCCGCAGAAUUUCAAAGGGCCAAAGGGCCAAAGGGCUGGCUGCUUUCGGCCAGCCAGCCAGUCCCGGGCUGGCUGCUUUCGGCCAGCCAGCCAGUCCCGGGCUGGCUAUUUUUUUUUUAUAGUUUUGUUAUUCCUGUCGGUUAAUACAUGUUAUUAUUUAAUAUACUACAUAAUGGUGUAUUCCUGUCGGUUAUAACCGACAGGAUUUUUUUUUUUAAAUUCAAAUGAAACGGCUACUAGCCGUUGCAUUUGAUUUGAUUUUUUUUUUUACAUUAUUAUUCUUUUUUUGUUUUUACAAAAAUUUUCAUAUAACUUCUAUUUUUUCCUAUAACUUCUAUUUUACAAAAUUUGGUUCAUAUUUCUUUUUUAAAUUCCAUUUUUUUCCUAUAACUUCUAUUUCACAAAAUUUGUUUCAUAUUUUUUUUAAAUUCCAUUUUUUCCCUAUAACUUCUAUUUCACAAAAUUUAUUUCAUAUUUUUUUUUAAAUUCCAUUUUUUUCCUAUAACUUCUAUUUCACAAAAUUUGUUUCAUAUUUUUUUUUUAAAUUCCAUUUUUUUUCCUAUAACUUCUAUUUGACAAAAUUUGUUUCAUAUUUUUUUUAAAUUCUAUUUUUUUUCCUAUAACUUCUUAAGCCAUUAUACAACAUUCAAUUAAAUUAAGUAACAUGAAACAACAUUAAACAAUAUGAAACAACAUUAAAUAACAUUAACCAACAUAACAAUUAUACAACAUGAAACGUAAACAACAUUUUAGUUGUAGUUUUUAAAUAAUAAAUUAUGUUUGGCCCUAUGGCCCUUUGGCCCUCGGUUGGAGACGGUUUUUUGUGACAGGGCUAAAACGAGCCCUCUGGCCCUUUGGCCCUCGGUUGGAGACGGAGGCAAAUAUGGCCAUAUACUGUUCAUUAAAAUAUUAAUAUCUUGGGGAAUCUUGGAGGGCCAUAGGGCUAAAACGAGCCCUCUGGCCAGCUCUCGGUUAGAGAUGGCCUUACGAUCAGCUGGUUUAGUUAGGGUAUGUUGGAUGAAAUCAUUGGAUUGAAUUUUUUUUUUCUUUCUAUUCUUUGUAUUGGUUGACCUAGAUUGUUGGAAUAUUGUUUUAUGAUUGGUGUAGCGCGAGAUUCCUACUUUAUUCAAUUAUAAUCAAAGGCUUAAAUGUUAAAAUGAUCCUUGUGUUUUUAAUUUGGCUAAUUUAGUCAUUGUGUUUAUUUCCGUUAACCAAUCAGGACAUUUCCAUUUAAAAUGAAAUAAAAUUAACAAUUAAAAGAAAAAUUAUUCUCUUCCCAACUCUUCGACCUUCCUAACAUUACCCCCUCUCUUUUCUAUGUCACAAUCUUAAUCAUUUUUUAGAUUGGAAGUUUUAUUUCUUAUAUUUGUUAUUUCUCAUUGAUUUGCAUUUUUUUGUAAAGAGAAAAGGUAAUUAUUUCUCGUAUGAUUUUUCUUAUGAAUUUUUUAAAGGAUAUUGAAUGAAAUGUCCUUAAUUGGCUAACAGAACAAACACAAGGACUAAAUUAACCAAAUCGAAAACACAGGGACUAAAUUGACCAUAUGGCUAUAACAUAGGGACCAUUUUGACAUUAUAGCCUAAUUUAAAAUUAAAAAAAUGAAAGUUUACAACUAAACGAAUAAGAAAAAAAAACAUGUUAUCCUGUUUACUCGACCCUGCAAUAUAAACUUUACUUUAUCCAAUUAUAGUUUAAAAAAAAAUGAAAGUUUACAACUUUAUAAACGAAUAAGAAAAAAUACAUGUUAUCCUGUUUAGUCGACCCUGCAAUAUAAAAUUUAUUGAUAAUUGAGGAAUACUUCUUCUUUUUUUAAGAAGAAAAACGAUAUUAUAUUGUUGAAACCAUUGGAGAUGAAUAAACUAUCAAAUUUAGCAUGUCAUUGUUUAUGAGCCUAUUUUAAGCCAUAAAGAGAUUUAUCUAACUUACACCCUUUAUGCUCUUGUCUAGAAACUAUAAAACUAGGCUUGGCAGUUUUUGACACGACACGAAAACGACACGAAAAUAACGGGUUUCGGGUCAACACGAUAACUUAUCGGGUCACUAUCGGGUGACCCGUUAAAAACCCGUUAAUAACGGGUUCUUAACAGGUAUACACGCGGGUAACACGUGGGUAACCCGUUUCGACCCGUUAAGAAAAAAAUUAUUUUAAUAAUUUUAAAGUUUAAUUACUAAAAGAUUUAUUAUAAAAUACAAUAGUCAUAUUAAUAUAUACAAUAUAUUCUAUAUUAAAUAUAUAGUUUUGUAUUACUGUUCUAUAUAAAUUAUAAAAAAAUUAAAAAAAAGUUUUAGUCAUUAUUUAUUUUUAUUAUGAGAGUUCCUUAUUAUCAUUACUAGGAUAAAUUUUACAUAACAUAUUCUUGUCCAAAAUUAAAAUAUACUGGUAUAGUAUUUGUAUAUGCAAGAACGAAGAAGACAUACAUACAAGUAUGAAAAAUGUGAAGAAUAUAUAAACACUCGUGAUUUAUCAUUAUUCCUCCACGAAUAGAUAAUUGUUACACUUAUAUUAUCGUUUAGAUUUUUUAAAUCCUUCAAACCCUCAUGAAUAAUGUUUUUUUAUUUGAGGGCAAAAUUAAUAAAAUUAAUAAUAAUUAUUGUAGAAGUGUAAAAAAUGUAAAAAUAUAUAUAUACAAUCACUCAUAUAUAAAAAAAUGUAAAUGCUUUAAAUUAAAGAUCAAAUUUAUUCAUUACAUUCUUAUAGGGUCGAGGAGUGUAUCUGUAAAAAAUCAUCAAAAUCAGAGAUAAAAUAACCGUUAAAUUAUGAUUUUUCGUUUAUAACCGCCGAAAACUUUUGUUCCAUUACGUAAUCUCUGAAUGUUUGUUUUUUACGAUUUUUUACAUAUGCGAUCUUGGAAUGUGUACAAAUAAGUUUGACGGUUAGAUCGUUAAAAAAAGUUUCAUAGAAUGCAUAUUGCGUCAAAACGGUAGAUUAAGCAAACACUUAGAGUUAAUAUUAUACUUCUAUUAAGUAUAAAAUAAGUUUUUGUGGUAUCCACUAGUGUAAAUACUUUAAAUUAAAGAUCAAAUUUAUUCAUUACAUUCUUAUAGGGUCGAGGAGUGUAUCUGUAAAAAAAUCAUCAAAAUCGGAGCUAAAAUAACCUUUAAAUUGUGAUUUUUUGUUUAUAACCGUCGAAAACUUUUGUUCCGUUACUUAAUCUCUGAAUGUUUGUUUUUUAUGAUUUUUUACGUAUGCGAUCUCGGAAUGUGUACAAUUAAGUUUGACGGUUGGAUCGUUGAAAAAAGUUUUGUAGAAUGCAUAUUGCGUCAAAACAGUACAUUAAACAAACACUUAGAGUUAAUAUUAUACUUCUAUUAAGUAUAAAAUAAGUUUUUGUGGUAUCCACUAGUGUAAAUACUUUAAAUUAAAGAUCAAAUUUAUUCAUUACAUUCUUAUAGGGUCGAGGAGUGCAUCUGUAAAAAAUCAUCAAAAUCAGAGAUAAAAUAACCGUUAAAUUGUGAUUUUUCGUUUAUAAUCGUCGAAAACUUUUGUUCCAUUACGUAAUCUCUUAAUGUUUGUUUUUUACGAUUUUUUACGUAUGCGAUCUUGGAACGUGUACAAAUAAUUUUGACGGUUGGAUCGUUGAAAAAAGCUUCGUAGAAUGCAUGUUGCAUCAAAACGGUAGAUUAAACAAACACUUAGAGUUAAUAUUAUAAUUCUAUUAAGUAUAAAAUAAGUUUUUGUGGUAUCCACUAGUGCAAAUACUUUAAAUUAAAGAUCAAAUUUAUUCGUUACAUUCUUAUAGGGUCGAGGAGUGUAUCUGUAAAAAAUCAUCAAAAUCAGAGAUAAAAUAACCGUUAAAUUGUGAUUUUUCGUUUAUAACCGCCGAAAACUUUUGUUCCAUUACGUAAUCUCUGAAUGUUUGUUUUUUACGAUUUUUUACGUAUGCGAUCUCGGAAUGUGUACAAAUAAUUUUGACGGUUAGAUCGUUGAAAAAAGUUUCAUAGAAUGCAUAUUGCGUCAAAACGGUAAAUUAAGCAAACACUUAGAGUUAAUAUUAUACUUAUAUUAAGUAUAAAAUAAGUUUUUGUGGUAUCCACUAGUGUAAAUACUUUAAAUUAAAGAUCAAAUUUAUUCAUUACAUUCUUAUAGGGUCGAGGAGUGUAUCUGUAAAAAAUCAUCAAAAUCGGAGCUAAAAUAUCCGUUAAAUUGUGAUUUUUCGUUUAUAACCGUCGAAAACUUUUGUUCCGUUACGUAAUCUCUGAAUGUUUGUUUUUUAUGAUUUUUUACGUAUGCAAUCUUGGAAUGUGUACAAAUAAGUUUGACGGUUGGAUCGUUGAAAAAAGUUUUGUAGAAUGCAUAUUGCGUCAAAACAGUACAUUAAACAAACACUUAGAGUUAAUAUUAUACUUCUAUUAAGUAUAAAAUAAGUUUUUGUGGUAUCCACUAGUGUAAAUACUUUAAAUUAAAGAUCAAAUUUAUUCAUUACAUUCUUAUAGGGUCGAGAAGUGUAUCUAUAAAAAAUCAUCAAAAUCAGAGAUAAAAUAACCGUUAAAUUGUGAUUUUUCGUUUAUAACCGUCGAAAACUUUUGUUCCAUUACGUAAUCUCUGAAUGUUUGUUUUUUUACGAUUUUUUACGUAUGCGAUCUUGAAACAUGUACAAAUAAUUUUGACGGUUGGAUCGUUGAAAAAAGCUUCGUAGAAUGCAUAUUGCAUCAAAACGGUAGAUUAAACAAACACUUAGAGUUAAUAUUAUACUUCUAUUAAGUAUAAAAUAAGUUUUUGUGGUAUCCACUAGUGUAAAUACUUUAAAUUAAAGAUCAAAUUUAUUCAUUACAUUCUUAUAGGGUCGAGGAGUGUUUUUGUAUAAAAUCAUCAAAAUCGGAGCUCAAAUUACCGUUAAAUUGUGAUUUUUCGUUUAUAACCGUCGAAAACUUUUGUUCCGUUACGUAAUCUCUGAAUGUUUAUUUUUUACGAUUUUUUACGUAUGCGAUCUCGAAAUAUGUACAAAUAAUUUUGACGGUUGGAUCGUUGAAAAAAGUUUCGUAGAAUGCAUAUUGCGACAAAACGGUAGAUUAAACAAACACUUAGAGUUAAUAUUAUACUUCUAUUAAGUAUAAAAUAAGUUUUUGUGGUAUCCACUAGUGUAAAUACUUUAAAUUAAAGAUCAAAUUUAUUCAUUACAUUCUUAUAGGGUCGAGGAGUGUAUUUGUAAAAAAUCAUCAAGAUCGGAGCUAAAAUAACCGUUAAAUUGUGAUUUUUCGUUUAUAACCGUCGAAAACUUUUGUUCCGUUACGUAAUCUCUGAAUGUUUGUUUUUUAAAGAUUUUUUACGUAUGCAAUCUUGGAAUGUGUACAAAUAAGUUUGACGGUUGGAUCGUUGAAAAAAGUUUUUGGACCGCCAACAAUAGAUAAUUUUGUAGUAGUGAAACCUUAAAUUUAUUUAACCGUCAAUUGUUAUUUACACUUUAUUCUUCUGACUGAAUUUCAUUUAAAUUUUUUUUUUUUGAAAACAUGAUCAUCUGGUGGAUGUAAGAAGAUGAUUUCACGUUUCGAUAUUUACGAUUAACUGAAAUAUGAGUUAAUGUCAUAUAAUUUGUAGAAACUUUAUAAACAUCAAGCAAUAUUUUCACUAACCGUAGAACUCUAAAUAUAAUAUCAACGAUCCAACGAUCCAAACCGUUCAUCUACCUGCACCCUCUAAUAGAUCAUGUUUUCAAAAAUGAAAAUCUAAAAAAACGAAAUUUGAUGAGAACAAUGAAGCAUAAAUGUAAACAACAAUCAACGGUUAAAUUUUGAUCUAUGAUUUAUAUGAUUAUAGUGGCGAAUUUCGAAGUUAAACUCUUCAUGAAAGUUAUAAAGCUUGUCAUUACGAGUGUUUAUAUAUUUUUUUACACUUCUACAUUAAUUAAAAAACUAUUAAAGACUUUAGGUAAGCGAAAAUAUACUUAAAACAAAAUUGCGUUUUUAUGUUUUGGAUGUGAUAAUAUGGAAUGUAUAUACUUAUUUAGUAUUAUGUUUUUCAUUUGAUUAUUUAUUGGUUUAAAAUAUAUUUUCCUUAACGGGUAACGGGUCGGGUCAUAUUACUUGUUAAUAUUAUCGGGUCGAUUUCGGGUCGGGUCAUUUUACCCGUUUAUUUUAACGGGUGUUACACGACACGACCCGUUAAGAUAUCGGGUAUGACACGAAAACGACACAAACACGGAAAACACGACACGAAUGCCAAGUCUAUAUAAAACCUUCAGGUUGAUCCAUAUAAAUCUCCUCUUAAAAGUCACCAUUCAAAAAGGCAGUUUUAGCAUUCAUUUGAUGCACAACAAGAUCGUAAAUGGCAGCUAAUGCAAACAAAACUCUAAUUGAAGUUAUUAUGUGUCCAAGAAGGUCAACGCUUCUUGGAGUGUUUGGGAUCUUCUUCCAAAGUUUAAGCAUGAAAAUCAGAACCAAAAUCCUUGGCAAUUUUGAUUCUUUUACUUUUCCUUGGUUUCGAAAUCAGUUUUGACCGAAUCUGGAAAUGUACGUUCACCAGUCCUAGGUAUAUUCAAAUUAAUGGAAGUUGAGCCUCCAUUAUUUCUUGAUUUAAAAGGAAACCUAUUCGCAAAGAAAUCAACAUCAUUUGAUUCAAUAACAACAUGAUUCUUCAAAUCAUAAAACCUAUAUGCUUUUCUAUUGUAUGCAUAACCAAUGAAACCGCACACUCAUAUGCUCUACUAACCAAUUUUCAUAUCUUAGGAUCAAGUUUACGUACAUAACAAACAGUCAACAUAUCUCACCCCACCAAAAUGAUGCACCACCUGAGUUAAGUAGAACAUCCACAGUCAAUUCACUUAGUGUCAUAUUUUUUUCUUCAACUUUACCGUUCAUUUCUUGAGAGGAUGGUGUAGCUACAAUAUUCGUCAAAAGCUCUAAAUUCAUACUCUUGACUUAACACAGCGUAGCUUUUUAUUUCGAUGAAUUGGUUUUCUACUUCAGUUAUGAAGAGUUUAAACAUGUCAAGAGCUUCACUUUUAUGUUUCAUGAGAUAGACAUAACAAUAAUUUUAACUAUCAUCUAUCAAAUUGAUGAAAUACUGUUUCUCAUUUCUAGUUACCACACCAUCAUAUUCGCAAAUAUCAGAGUGAAUUAGAUCAAGUGGUUAUGAUUCUCUUAAAACUUAUUUAUGUGGUGCUUUUGUUUUCUUUGCUUGACUGCAAAAUUCACACUUCUCAAAGUUAUUUUAGUAAAAGUUCUCGAGUUUGCCCUAUGUUACUCAUUUGUUUGACCAGUCCUUUGUUUACAUGACAAAGUCUUGCAUGCCAAACAUAAAAUGAACACAACAUGUAAGCAGAAGAAGCAAUUUAUGCAUAGCAUCAACAUUCAAUAUAAACAUUCCAUCAGUAGCAUACCUCUUUCCCACGAAAACACCAUUCUUCGUGAGAGUACAUAUGUCAGCCCCAAUUAUUUGAGUGAAUCCAAUUUUGUUGAUUAGAUAGCCAGAGACAAGGUUCUAUCUUAUUUUUGGAACAUGCAGCACCUCUUUCAGAAUGAUAUAUGGUCUUACCUGAAGUGAAUUUUAGCACAACUUCACCAAUUCCAGCAGCAUUAGUUGAGUGAGAAUCACCCAACAAAACUUUUCUAUCUGCAGCCUCAGAAUAGGACUGGAAAAGUCCACGGUCAUAGCAAGCCAUGGUGUAAGGCACCAGUGUCGACCCACCACCCCUUGGGUCCAUCAACUAAGUUGACCUUAGACAUCAUAGUAACAAGCUAUUCCUCAAUUAGGUUUGCCUGAGGAGCAACCAAACGCUUGUUGUGAUAGUUUUGAGCUAAAUGCCCAUGUUUGUCACAAUUGCAGCACAAUAAUGGUUCAGUUGUUUCAUCUCAUGAGGGGGUAUCCUCCUAUUCUAAUUUCUCUGAGGAUUAUGUACUUUCAAGGAGUUUUUGUUGUUGUUGCUGUAAGUUAUGGAGGAAUUCUUCAUGUUCGGACUAGUGGGUUUGAGCACCACAGCAGCAUGACUCUUGUUAUAAGCCUUCUUCAGGUUGCUGUUGUUCGAAACAACCAGCAUUUCUUCCCUCAUGUCUUGCUUACUGGUUUCUUCCUCAAUUCGAAUGUGGGUGAUCAGGCUUUGAAGUGAAAAUUCAUUAGUUUUGUGACGCAGGUCCUUCUUGAAGUCCUUCCAACUAGGUGGCACCUUAUCAAUGAGCACAUCAACCUAAAAUUGUUCAUCCAGGUUCAUGCCUUUAGGGACGAUCUCGUGGGCAAUCUUCUGCAGCUCGUGUGAUCAGGCUCUACAGUGAAAAUUCCUUGGUCUUGUGAUGCAAGUCCUUAUUAAAUUUAUUCCAACUAGGUAGCAGCUUGUCAAUGACCACAUUAACCUGAAAUUGUUCAUCCAAAUUCAUGCUUUCAGAGACCAUCUCAUGAGCAACCUUUACAUAGCGGCUGACAAAAAAAAAUUUUGCAUCUGCUUCUUUAGUAUCAUAUUUCUUCUAGAGUGUCCCUCAAUUCCUUAGCAGUCUUAUAGGAAGAAUAAUAGUCUUACAUAUUAUCGCAUAAAUCAUUCAAGAGGUAUUUCUCGCAAAGAAAAUCAUUGUCAGUCCAUGUUUGGUUCAACUUGAAUUGUUCAGCAUUGGGUUGAUUAGGGAGUAAUGACAUUUUAGACGUGCUGUUAGUGGCAAUUUUCUUGGUGGUUAAGAAAAACAACACAUUUUGCCUCCAACGUUUGAAGUGAAAUCCUUCAAACUUGGUGGAUUUAUUGUGAUCAUUGACGACAGAGUUGGUUUUAACAUCCAUGGCAAAUGAAACAUCUUAAGAUUGUUGAAGCACAAUAAAAACAAGAAAUGAAGUAACUAGUGAGUCAAGAACAGUCAAACAAAAUUUUUGGGGUUGAGUACCUAACAAUGUCGUUCUGUUUAAGACGUUUUACAGCUCUGCCCAAGUUGUGCAAACAAUCUAAAUGCCACGCCGUCCCCAGGAAGAAACAGCCCAGAACCACCUUUGUCUAGACCCUCCUUUGCACUGAGGAAGAUCCGAAAACUAACACCUUCUAUGUUGCUCAAAAAACUCAAUAAAAGUGAUGUAUACUAGUUAACCUUUUUUUCUUAUUCCUGGAAGCUUUAUCAAACUCUAGUAUUUACAGAGAAGGAUUGAGUUUAACGUUGGAAGAGUUGAGAAAAGAUGGCCAAAGAAUUAGCAACUUAUCACGUAGUUGAGAAAGACUAGGUCUUUUCCUUUAUCUUCAAAACAAAUUCUACUUAGCAGAAAAGAAGUGGUCAUCCAUAAAAUAGGAGAAAACAUUCUUUAAUUUAAAAAUAUAAAAACAUGAAUUUUAAAUAAACAAACCGUUUUAAUAAUAACUAGUAUAGUACUAAAUUUGGAAGUGAGAGAUCUUAGGUUCGAAUCUCAUGAAUGGCGAAUUCGAUACCAAAUUUGGUUACCCAUUAUGUAUCUUAGCCAAACUCUCCCUUCCUGUUUUGGAAAAAUAUUGAUGUACUAAAAAAAAUAGUAACUAGUACAAUAAUUUAGAGAAUGAGGAGUUUCGAACCCUAGACGUAUCUAUCUGGUAAAAUAUUGGACUUUAUGCAUGUAAUUUAACUUAAUCUAAUUACGGAAAAACAAAUUCAAACUUGAUUUAUAAGAGAUAGCCUAUUAACUCUAUUUAUUAUGAUUAUGCUCAUAUUUGCAAUCAUCUUCCACUUUUAAAUUAUUUGUUUGUGAUUACAAAAGAGUGCAAGACGACCAUCAAUAAUAACUCUUCAUUUAUUUAAACUAUUAGAAAGUCUUCAAUCAACAUUACAUCCAUGUCAUUUUUAUAACUAUUUUUUUCAUCUUAUGUUAAUAAUCUGUUAAAUUCCUUAUGAUUUAUUAGGUAUUUGUUUGUUGGGAUUUAACAGAUUAGCAUCAAGACCAUUUAGAAGUUGGUUAUCUAAUCUCGUUGACCUCUACCAUUUGUUAGGCUCGCCAAACACUAUCAAGUUUUAAUAUGUUACAAGCCGUUGUGUACACAAACUAAGCAAGCAGUUUGAUUUUAAUUAAAAAAUCAUAAACUAAAGAAUAAUAUAAUGAAUAAUAGUUAAUCGUAUGUAAUGUUAGGUCAAUUACCUAACUUUGGGAGAAAGAUCUAUAUAAUUUAAGAAAUAGAUUCUAUGUACGUAUGUAGAGAUUUUUUUUGUUUUUUUGUUUUUUUUAAAUAUUUUAGUUGAUGGGGGUGUCUCCAAAAACGAACCCACUCAAUACUGUAUAUGGUUUUGGCUUGUUAGCCAAAAUGCUCAUUGAGAUUAGUAUAAUUUUUUGUUUUGGUUCUUAAGAUUUAAAAUCGAUGGAAGUGGAACCUGAGUUGGUCUAUCAUUAAUCAUUUUAGUUAUUUUGUGCAAAAUCUUCAUUAAAUAAGAAUAAAACGACAAAAACACUCGAUUUUUGUCAAAUUACUUUGGAUCAUUGUUUAUUAAACUAUUUUUUUCAUUUAAGUUUUUAUUUAACAGAAAUUUUCAUGAAUGACCAAAAUAAUUGAUUGUGAACCAACUCAAGGACAUUUUCAAUCAAUUUCAAAUCUCAGAAACCAAAGCGAGUAGUUAUGCAAAUUUUAGAGACUAUUUUUGCCAAAAAGUCUAUUUUUUUGGGUGUUUUUUGCUCACCACUAUAUUUAUUAUUAUUUGAUAAGUUUUUUUUUUUAAUUUGUGUCGCUCUCACACAUAUCUUAAAAUUUAAAUUUAUUUAAUAAUAAUAAAUAUAGUGAUAAGUAUUAUCACUACUAAAUCGUGAGCAAGUUUUUGUUUCUUUUUCUUCUUCAGUGGACGACCUGCUGUGGUCCCGCCCAAUUAUAUAAUAAGAAGUCCGCUGUGGACCGUGGUCCACCCAAUAUUGUACAUCACUUUCUUAUUUUCAAUAGCAAGGGGCAAAUAUUAAAAUUUCCUGCUUUUAAAGUAUGUGGCCUUUUCUUUAAAAAAACAAAUAAAUAAACAGAAGAAGGAGAUGUGAACACGUGUGCACAUGAGGCUUACAAUGGUGGCAGGAACCUUUGAGAAUAAGAGUAGGAUUCUCUUUCCUCCACUUUCCAUCCCCUUUCAUUUAUUUCUCUCACAUUCUUUAUUUUGUCUUUCACUUUUUAUAAAAAAAAUUAAUAUAAAAUGUUGACGUAGUUUAACCUGAUCGUUUAAAUAGAAAGAGAAAAAAAAAGGAAAAAAAAAAAAAAAAAAGAGAAAAGAAUCCUACUCCUUCAGAAGGCCAUGUCCUCCUACCCCUACCCCUAUCCCUACACACCGAGGAAAGUGGGAAUAGGGUUUCGGGGAAGUGGCCGAACAGCCCUGUGGGCCAUGGCUGUUCUCAGGUAGGACUCUUGAGAAGGGGUAAACCUGGAAACUGAAAAGGGAGAUCUCCGGGUCCUGGAUGACCUAGCCGCUAGGUCUUUUAAUUGAAUACAAGAUUAGGACUUGAUUACAAAUCCCCCAUGACAUGUACAUUUAAAAUAAUGGACAUCGGCCACGUGUAAGCAGAUGGUGACAACAAAGGGACGCGCCCUCUUCAACAAGGAACAAAUGUUGUCAAAGUUGAAUUAUAUUGCAAAUCACAAGAGUGGGACCCACCGUAUAAUAAUCUCAAAAUGAAGCUCUUCCAACUUUUCCGCUUUGCCGACAAAUUACAGUUCCAGAGUCAUUUUCUGUUCGAGACCAAAAAUUGUGCUCAACUCUACUUUUAAAGAGUAAUAUCAGACAGACUAUAAUUUAUAAAAUGUCGUACUCAGUGCACAAGGCUCCCGCUUUACGCAGGAUCUGAAAAAAAUGAAUGUCGGCUAACCUUACCCUUAUUUAUGAAAAGGUUGCUCCCAAGUCUCGAACCCGAGACCUACCGCUCAUAAGCGAAAGUGCUUGCCAUCGCAUCAAGUGCGACCUCUUAGACAGACUAUAAUUUAUAAGUAGCUAAAAAUACAUUGCUCAAGUUAAAUUCAACAAGGCAACUAUGCAGUGUGUGUGUGUGCGCCUAUUUAUUUUUGUUCCUCCCAUCACAUGUCAUACUUUUUAUCACCUAACAUUCAGAGCCACAAAAAUACUCCUCAAAUAAUCCAACAAGGAAUAAAGGUUGUGAUACAAAUAAAAACACAAUUUAAAUUUAAUAAAAAAAAAAUCCCUAAAAUCCAAGUGGGCUUUUUACCAUUACACCCUCUUCCCAUUUCUUCUUCCCCAUAUAAUAUAAAAAUAUAGAAUGUCAAAAGUUUUACUGCCCUUUAUGGACAUUUAAAACCCCAAAAAAGAAAUCAACUGUUACAUCCACCUUUGCCAUUCUUCCCUCUUUCUGCCCCAACAGAAGAUCCCUACUUUUCCUUUUCCUGCAUUCCCCAUCCUAUCCUCUCGUCAAACCAAUCAAAUUUAAUUAGACUUUCACCGUCAACCCUGUCAGAUUAUACACACAGAAGUGUACAUAUACUUUUCCCUAUGACAAUUUUACCCCCACUUGCUAAACUUUCACUCCAAAAUUGUGGGUCGAAAAUCCAUUCCACCUACCUUUUUCCCGUUGCAUCUUCCAUUUCUUCUCCGAGGGUGCCUGCAAAUUCUCAUUUCCUUGGGCAAGAAUCAAGCUUUUCCUUCCUUUGCUCACAAUCCCAACCACCAAAAGUGCUUUCAGCUUCUUUUUCCAGUUUUCAGUCUGCCGGUUUUAUGGGGGCUGCAAUGUAGCACCAAGGGAUAACUGUUCUACUCACCGGCGGGUUGUUUCUUCUGUUCUGCCGGUUUUACCUGAACCACGGUCGGAACAGCAGCAUGUACAUAAGCGAAUCCUCCAGGUACAACUUGGUGUGGCCCAGAUGACGGUGCAGCAGUAAACUGAGUAUGCAUAAGAGUCUGCGAGGAUAUGUUACCGCCUUUCAUGUUGUUAGCAGCUGCAGCAGCAGCCGCCUUUGCAGGAUCGUUGGUGCUGGUAUUUGAAUGCGUAACAGGAGGGCAGAGUGACAACUUCCCACUCGAAGAAGUUCCUGAUGAGCCUUGUGACUGCUGCUGUUGCUCAGGUCGGCGCUUAGAAGCAUGAUAAUACCCGCUUGAAGGAGAUUGAGUAGAGGUGCUACUAUUGGAAUGUGAAGCUUGAGGCUGCAUGUAGGCAUUAGAGAAGAACAGCGGUUGUUGAAUCGAUUGCUUAUAUAACUGUUGUUCCUGUUGCUGUUGGUGCUGAUGUUGAUGUUGCUGAUGCUGUUGGUGCUGAUGUUGCUGAUGCUGAUGCUGUUGCUGCAAUUGUGGCUUAGUACUAGCGCUCGAAGAGGUAAUAUGGGUGUUGCCUAGGAUUGAAGGGACAUUCCUCCCGCCAACAGGAGACGACUUCUGACUGGGCACUGAUGGUGAGUUCUUGGCCUGCUGAGAUGACAAAGAAGAUAUUUGGCCAGCUUUAUUUCCUGUGGAAGUCGAAGUAGUUGUCCUGGGGCUUCCACCAGCACUUCUAGACAUUGAUGACGUUGUGGUUGUGGGAGAACCAACCAUUACAGGAGGAGAUGGAGACUGAUUGCUACUGGCAGGCUGUAACCCUUGAGAUUGGGUUGAAGCCUUGGUGUUUGCCGCAAAAGAAAUCUGUGUGUGGCUUUGCUGUGUCCGCCCAUGCUUUUGAGGAAGGUUUUUGAGGGACGAAGAGGUUGACGAGGCCAUAGACGGUGAAGGAACUUGGGAAGUGGUUAUCCUUGCAGAAUUCUUCCACUGAGGAGAUUGAGCUGGACUGGUGCUGCUUUGGACAAGGUUUUGGGGGAAUGAUGAUAGAGCAUUAGGAAACUUUGCAGCCAUAGAAGAGGUUGAAGGGAGGUGAUCAGAGUACACACUGCCACCAUUACUCGUUGGCGUUUUGUUACGAGCUGGAGCCACAGCAACCAGCAAUCUGCUGCGCUGCAACCUCAGACCCGAGUGGCAGUUCGUAUGUCAGUGCACGCUGAGGCCUUUAACUGACUCCUUAACUGCUCUUGCUGAACUAUCAAUCACAUUGUUGCCCGGUAUUGUAGAACCAGAUGUAUCGGUCAAAUCUGCCCUGGAGAAAGCAAUAGAGUGCCCAACAUUUGAUGAAGAUUUCCCAGCCAUGGCCUUUCUUUCCUCUUCCACAUUAGAGGAAUCCCCUCCUCCGGUUUUCCCUUCUUCCGGACCUCGAUAAUUCUUUUUCUGUUGUGCAGCUUGGGCAGCCACGGCAACAGCCAUAUAUUGAUGAUAACUGUGCCUAGUAACAUCUGGAAAGCUCUGUAGAAUUGUAUGAUUCAUCGAUGUUAUGUCAAUGCCAGGAGAAACGGUGGCACCAUUUAAGGAAGCAAAAGACAUGGCAAAAGCUUGGGAUGCUUCAACCCCAGCCUUUGAGCCCUGUUGCUGUUGCUGCUGCUUCUUUUCACUACCACUAGAACCUGUUGCACCACUGGCACUUCCAACCGAAGGAGGUGUCAUCAAAGCAAAGUUUGGCGGAUGCAUUGGCAUUGCAAAAUUCUGACCAUAAAUACUCAUGUUCGCACGAGAGACACGACUAUCAGCAGUUGACGGGCUGUCUUCGCCACCCAUUUCAGGCUCAAGUUGGCGCGAAACAUGCAGGUUCUGCUGCUGCUGCAGCUGUGUUGCUUGCGAAGGAUGGUUUUUUGAGGAAGGAAAGCCUUGCAAGCUUCCACUGCCACCAUUGACAACACUUUGAUGUGGCCUUUGCUGCUGAUUUUGCAAAUGCUUCUGGGACGACGAAGAACCACUUGAAAUAGUAGUGUUUGGGUGACCUUGUUGACUUUGCUGUGAUUGAGAUGGCAGUGGUGGUUGUUGCUGUUGUUGCUGCUGCUGUUGUAGUUGAGACGGAUGGAGCAUUUGAGAAGAAUAGAAAGACCCGUUAAAAUAAGGCAUUGCCUGAGCAUGGGGUCCUCUGUAUGCCGCCUGUGCACCUACAUGAGCUGGCAUUGGAAAUGGAUAUGCAUUGUUCUGCAAAAUCGCCAAAUACUGGGGUUCAUUUCCAGCCAUAUUUGGGUAGUUGAAACUCAGUGCUGGAGCUACAGCAGCGGUUGCAGCUGUCGCACUCAAUGAAGCAGAGUUAGAUGCACUGGAUGAAGCUGCACCACCAGCAUUAGAAGACUUCACAGACCCAGGUCGGACAGGAGCGGCAGCGGCCUGUUGCUGGCUCAAUGGGAAAAUGAAAGCAGGACCAUGCUGAAAUUUUCAAUAAAAGAAAACGCAUCAAUAUUCAAACCCCCGUGACAAUAUCAUUUAACAAAUGUAACAAACAGUAUCAAAACGAGAAACGUACCAAUAUAUUACUAGGUGGCCCGGGAGGUAGAGCUUGCUGGAGCACGAUUUGCUUUCUCUGCACAGCAUCCACAAGGUUUGCUGCUUGUGAAGUUUUUUCCUUUGCAGAUUGAGCAGGAAACAUAGCAAUCCCCUGCCCCUUGUCCUGUGCAGGAUUCACCCCUCUCCCUGGAACAUUGCCAAGCAAUUCUGGAGGUAAUACAUUGGGAUUGCUAUGCUUGGCUCCUCCAUACAGAGAUCCCGAACCAGCUGCUACCGGCCAGAAAGGAUUCAUCCUUGAGAUUUGCUGGUGAUAGUAUAUAUUCCUUGCAAUGUACCAAUGGGUUGUGCACCUCUUUGGCCGAGGUUGAUUAAAAAACAAAUGCGGCGGCUGCACCAGUUGAAAAUUCCAUUGGAAAACAAAAAAGCAACAGAGCUCCACUUUAGUUUCACGAGGAGGGAAAAAAAAAAGUUGUUCAUAAAAUAACAAAAAAUUACAUACUUGUAUCGGAGCUGAAGAAACGGAGCUCCCAUCCAUGGAUACAACUCCUGGUAAGGGCGCCAUAUAUCUGCUCAUGAGAACACAUCCAUUCCCCCAAAAUAAGUACAUCUCAAAACCAAAGAUGAAGGCUAAUGACCAAGAAAAUGGCAAAAGAACAGAUAACAUAACAACCGAAGAGCGUACCCCAUCGGAGGAAGCCCGCCCGGCCAGCCCGCCACAGACAUCGGCAAAGGUACAGAACCCGAUUGCACUGAAGAAUCAGAAGACCAAAUCACUGACUGACCAACCCAAAUGAAGGAGGCAGAGAGAGAGAGAGAGAGAGAGAGAGACUAAAUUACCAGUUUUCUCAGUGUUUUGCUUAGCAACAUUAUGGGGCAGCUUGUUUCCACUAAAACUCUCAGUCUUCUCCAAAUCAAGCUGCAGAUCAAAAUUCCUUUCUUUCCCACCAACAACGGAAGAAGUCUGCUUUUUCAAAUCAGCUGCUUCUGCUUCUUCCACAGCUGCUUUUGACUUCUCAGUUUCCAAAUUUAAAGGCUGCACUUCUUCCUUGUUGCCAAUUUUCAGAGCUUUGCUGUCAUCCUCUCUGCUCACAGCUUUUAAGUCCUGCAAACCAAACAGUAAUACACACAUUAAACUAAAAAUCUUCAAAAACCAAAAAUUAUAACACCAAAAUAUGCAAAUGGCAGAGGUGGUCCCCACUCACCGUUUCUGUAUCUACGACCGCAGGCUUAGGAUCUACGGAGAUAAAAUCAACUUCACCAUCCCUUUCUGGAGGAGCCUAUAAUUAUAUACACAUCAACAACCAAAAUAUUUCAAUAUUAAUAUUUUAUCCUUUAAAAAAUAGAAAGAAAUAAAAAGAUGAAUAAUUUAUCCUUUAAAAAAUAGAAAUAAAAAGAAAGAAAAUUUGAUGAUCCUCACCAUCAGAUCUAUCUGGAACUUUUCUUCUCGGUGGUUUUCAACUUCUGGGAUUGUUAAACUCCUAGAUAAAAACCCACGAACAGAAAAUUAGAAAAUUCAAAGCUUUUUGUAUCCGAAAAAAAAAAUCUUUGAUGCUCACGGUUUGGUCAAGGUGAUUUCUUCACGUUUAUCAUCCAAUCUGAUGGCAGUGGAUUCCUUCUUGGGAGAUUGAAGUUCCACUUUGCUCGUUCUAACAUUUCUACUCUCCGAUUCGUCGUUCGCUGGCCUUGAAUUUGACACGGCGUUGCUCUCCGGCUUAAUUGCCUCUGGCUGAGCCUCCAUUGAUGCCGGAGCAGCUGGAACAGCUUGAGAGUCGGGCAAAUCGUACGCAAAGCCACCAUUUUCAGCUGCAGAUCCUGGGUUUUUCUCCAAAUUUGGAGAGGAAGUCUCAACCUUCGAAGGCUGAUCAGCCACCACUUUGGCCGUAGACGAAACGGGACUGUUUUGAACUGCAAAAAUUGAUGGGUUCUCGUCUUCACACUUCACGGGUCGCGGUCUUUUCCUCUUGGAUGCUGCGGAUUCAAACAAAGACACCAAAUUUUCAUCAGUCACCAAAAAAACAAAGAACCCAGUUCCGUUUGCUCACCGAAAAACUGAUUCAAUCCCUUUUUCUCAGUCUCUCAGCAACCAAACGGAGCAUUUUGGGUACCCAGAAAGAAAUGAACAAAACCGAAAGCUCAGUGAACUUAUAGUACCCACCGGCGGCGGACAUGGAAGUGACAGAGAAGCAAGAAUUCUGAGGGAAAGGCGACGUCAGCUGAGGAACCACACAAGGCGAGUUCGAGAUCGGCGACGAAACUCUCGAUUUGGCGUCGCUGGUAAAUUUGUUGUUGGUUUCUCUGGAUUCGAACUUAAUCGAAUCGGUGGGUGUAAUUUCUUGCUUUGUCGGCCCUUGCGGCUGCCUCUUCAUCCCGUACAACACCUCCGCGACCUCUAUUUCUAUCUCGUCCUGAUUAGACGACGCCGUCUUGGUCGACAAGGACAUCUUCGGCGGCCGAAGUUUGGGUCCGUUUGGCUUCUGCAACAAAAAAAAAUGUCACUAAAUGUUAGAAAUGAAAAUAAGCAAAAAAAAAAACCCAAAACAGAGAAAUGAAUCGAAUUUGAUGGAAUUGAAGACCCACCAGCCUCUUCCGGACCGCCGAGGCGUGGGAAGAAGAAGGUGAAGUCGGAGCCGGCGUCGACGAUGACACGCUCGGCCGAACAGGGGACGUCGAAGCCUGGGGGUGAAUUUGGUCUCCGACAACACCGCAACUAGAAGGCCAUUCGUUAGACCUCUUCGUCGACGCUGAAAAACGACAGGAAGAAGAACAUCAGUAUCCUGGAAUCCAUUAAAAUCAAACGUAUGGCAGCUUUUUCUCCCUUAAAUCACUUCAUUUCUGCUCUACCUGACCGUGCUUUUCGGGGCACCGAAACGCCAAUCAUCUCGUCGGUGACCUUCAACGCCGUGAGCGGUCUGAAAUGCUUGUUGCUAUUAAGAUUAUGAACUGGCGAGAAACUCUUCCGGUGAUUUAUCAUAGAAGAUGACAGAGAUGCCGUUGACGACGGGUGGUUCGGCGGAAGCAUCCGAAUCGAGGACCCACCGCCGCCGACUCCACUUCCACCUCCGUCUUCGUCCUCGUCCUCAUCUUCGUCGUUCACACUCUCCUCCGAACUAUCAUCGCGGCUGUCUUCUCUAUUGCUUCCGUGCAUUAACCUCUCGCCUCUCCGCCUCUUGCUCCGGCUCAACCGAUCCCUAUCGCGAUCUCGGUCUCUUUCUCGAUCCCGAUCUCGAUCUCGGUCCUUCUUCCGAUCUCUGAGCCUCGAUGUCUCUUGUAACUCCACCGGACCAUCGUCCUCUGCAAAAAAACAAAAAAAUCGAAGAAAAAAAAACCAUUAAAACGAAUCGAAAACCAGCAGCUGGGUAUUGCUAAAAGGGGUUAGAUCUGGUAGGAGCCGCACCUGGGGAGUCUCUGAGGUUACUACUUCUGUGUCUCCGCCGUGACAGGCCAUUUGGGGCCGCCAUAGCUGAUCUUCUCGCAUCCCUAUUCCUAUCCAUAUCUAAUAAUAUUAACUACAGACAAAUCAGCUACACACAGGACUCUAAUCCCAUCUCUCAUCACCGGAAACCCACCAUAAUUCACCGGAUAAUUUAGUCAAACCCGCCGGGCCUGAUUUGUAUGCUCCGACUCCCAACCCCGUCAACGACGAUAUCUCUCACAAGGCUAUUCCCACACCACCCAAAGAUCUCAGCUUUCGCUUAUCAUCUUCCACCUCUCACUGCCUCUCUCUCUCUAUCUCUCUCUCUCUCUGUUUCUCUCUAUUUCCAACUCUGUCUCCUUUUUGUGCUGUCUAUCAGUCUAUCUCAUCCAGACUCCGCUAUUUCACUUGGAGCGAAACCCACUCGCAAGCCUCAUCGACGGCCACGAUUCACCUGCUGCAUCACAUCCUUCAAUCUCCACCCUACAUUCCGAGAUACAUCCUGCGGCUCAUUUCCACCUAAGCUGACAUGGCAAAAUCCUCGCCGUCCACACCCCUGGCCCAACCUUUUCUGUCUGGUGCCGCCACGUGUCAGAUUUUUUAAUUUUUUCUUCCUACGCAAGCUUCCAUGUUUACUCAAUCACUACGAUUCGGUACUUUUAUACUAUAAAAAUCGUUAAACAAAUCAAUAAAAUACCACUAAUUAAUGUAUCAAUAAAAGAUUAUAUUAUUUUAAUAUUUUUAAUUAUUUUAUUCCACUCAAAAGAAGAACACCGUAGCCCACCAAUCCAAUCAGGGUGUUUACUUAAAUUAAAAAUAGCAUCCCCAGAAAUUAGCCUAAUCAACGUCAUUAACCGGCUAUUCCCGGUCAUAGAGACCUCGGCAAAAGCAACAUGACGAUAACAAGGUAUUUGCAUGACCCCAAAUAAUGGAGUGUGUUUUUACUCACCAGCCUCAUGUUGUGCAUGUUUACAACUUACUUAUUAUCAUUAUAUGUGUUUGAAUUUUAAGAUUUAUGUAUAUCGAUUACAAGAAUUUUGAAAUUUAAAUUUAACGAUAGUCAACAUACAUCAUAAUUUAGAGUGGUGAGCAAAGAUACUAUCAGAUAAUAUCGAUCAAACCGGUCAAAUUCAUUGUUUACGGUCCACAUUUUCUUUUUGUUUUCCAUUUUUCCGCCCUUUCUUUAUAUAUUUUUGUUCAAUUAAUUGCGGAUGAUGGCAAAAUUCUUAAACAAUUUCCGUAAAUUGAAAACGUAGGCCCCACCUGAAUGGGAGCCAGUCGCGCAUUCCGCGGUCCAGAUCUUCCCGUAACCAGUAACGCGAAGUUUACUAGCCGUCGGAUACUUUUCUGACGUGGCGAUAAGUAAAUAAUCAAAGAUAUCCCAAAACCCAGAUUCGUCCUAGCUGGCACCCAACUAAAAGAGCUCGUGCGCGUAGAUCAGUGCGCCUCAUCUGGACCGUAGGAUCCAGUCCAACCAACGGCAGAUAUAGGAGCAUGAGCGAGGGAAGGUUUCACCGUCACGGAACUUCUGAGAAGUGUAGGUCCCGCGUUAGCUGCCGAUCUAGAAAUAAUUUCCUCGCGUUGGCCUAUUGUCACGCUCGUGGGAUAUGGCAGCCUAGUCUGACGUGUACUGGGGCCCAGCAAUUAAAAAAUAAAAUAAUAUCAAAAUACUUUUUCUCUUUUAUUUUUUCGCGCGGUCAAAUUUUACAGCGCAGUUAAAAAAAGGUAAAACUCAUAUAAAUAAAUAAAUUCGUUUUUCCGGCUCUAACUCCACGCGCUUAUGGCGGAGUUCACAUUCUACGUGUCCCCCCAUUAUUUCGCCUCGAUUGGCUACUUUUCUACGCUCACAAGAUGGUAAAUAUCUUUUUGCUCGGAUCCUUCCGAUAUUCUCACCUGCCUGUCACAUUCAUGUUUUGGCCGUAGGGCACAGCUGGGUAGGUUAAUUCAUGCUCCACAGAAAAAAUAUAAAAAAAGUAUAAUACGGGGGACAAGCGUGCCACGUCAAACUGGGCCCCGCCCGAAAAUGGUUGACCCACCACAAUGGAUCCCCUUUCUCCAGCUUUUGUCGCUUUGCGGGGUCUUUGGGUUUUCGUCCCCUCGCUAUCGUCAAGGUCCAGAUGGUGUGCCACGUGUCGGGGAAACGUGCUAUUGUCCUACGUGGCAUUGUUUAUGGCCGCUUACGUAAAACCCUAGCCGUCAACAGCACCAAAACACACAUAAAUUGCACAAACAUUAGUUGCGUUUAGACUAACCUCACCAGUCAGUAGUCACCCCCCAUUAAUUGAUAAAUAAUUAAUUAAUCCAAAUGGAUUUGAUUGACAUAAUUAUUAAUUCUAUAAUAUUAAUUAUAGAAUCUCAUUUGGUAACAUAAUAGAGUAUAAUAAUGUGACAACCAAAAUAAGAAUAAACAAUUAAAUGCAUAAUUGCAUUUAAGCAUUUGCAAUCUAUGGCCUUUUCCGACUCGGGUGCAUAUAUAAAAGGGCAAUUUGUUAAUCGGGCAAAGUUGUGAGAAAAAUAAAAUUAUGAAGUUAGAAUUAGACCCAGCAAAUAAGUUGUGUUUGUUUUAGUUGUGUCAUUUUCAUGUUAUAUAUGUUAUAAUAACGGAUUGUAUUGUGUUAAACUCCGUUAUCUCAAGUUCUCAACAAAUUUUUAACAGAUGACCCAAUAAGGACCUGAUUUUUUAACGUGUCGCGUCUUUUUGUGUCAGGCUAAUGAGUCAUGCAAAAAAUUGUCAUAUCUAAUAUCUAGAUGUGGCAAAUAAUAUCUUAUUAAGUUUUUAACAAGUGAUCCAAUAAUAACCCGACUCGUUAAUAAAUACCCCAAAACUACCAAUUAUUUUUGUAUCAUUUCGCAUCAGGUUAACUGGUUAUACAAAAAUUUAUCAGACUUAAUUAGAAUGUAUCCAAAAAAAUGGUUAUAUUUCGCAAUAAUUUUGAAGUUGUAAAAUCAAAAUUUUCCAGUUAUACGGGGAAAAUGACAAGGGGUCUACUUUGACCCAUGGACAAUUAAGCAUGAAUUAUGGAUGUCUCAUUCGUGAAAGUAAAAUGUAAAACAUAAUUUAAAGUGGGUCAAAUGCCAUUACGUGGGGUGAUCUAUCCCUUCCCCAAUCUAUAUCCAAUUGAUUGGCAUUUUCUGACUUGAUUGUGCUAGUUAGGCUUGGUGGUCGCCGGAAAGGAAUCCUUCGGAUUCCUUCUACAUAAUCAUUCAUAUCAAACAAUCUAGAUCUUUGAAAUUUAAUUAAACGGUUACAAACACGUGCUCACUCUAAAAUUUAAUAACUUUAGCCGUUGAAUCAAAUUUCAAUGAUCCAAAUUGUUUGAUGAUGAGGAUUAGGUGGAAGAAAUCCGGAGAUGAUCCCUUUCCGUGGUUGCUUGUUUGCAAUGAAGGUGAUAUCAAGUUUGAGAGAAGUUAGGGAGUUUGGAUAGUUAGACUGAUUACUGUUACUUUUUAAAAUGGCAUAGUUUGAUAGAAUAAGCGUUUCUCUUGAUAUCUAUUUUUUCAUUUUCGUUUCAUAAUAUGUGUUGUAUGAAUUGAGUAAAUGAACACACGUCAAAAACGCUGAUGGAAAGUCAAAUUUUCUGUUUAUUAUUUAAACAAUGCGUGUAUCGAACAUAACAUGAUUAAUGAACAAAUCAAAUUAAUGUCAAGUCAUUUAACAUGAUUAGCUAAAUAAACGAAGUUUGAGCUUACUUGUAUUUUGCAUGAAUUCGAAACGGAAUAACACGAUGUGACACAAGAUGUCACUACUUGUCAAUUACCACCUCUACAUAGUGCAUGUGAAAGUAUAAGUUUGCACAAUCAUGGGCAUUAACACAUAAUUGAGUGAUUUAAGUGGUAAAAGAUGAGUUCAUCGCAAUGUAAGAUGUAGUUUAUCACAAUGGUAACAUGGCGUCCUUUGGUUAAUUUGUGUCAUCACUUCAACAAAAGUGUUUUUUUGGAGAUAAGAAUCGGGCGAAAUUACAAAUAUAGCGUUUUUGGUAUACAUGUUUAAAAUGUAGGUUUUUUUUUUUUUUUUUUUUUUUUUUUUUUUAAAUUGAGAGAUCGGACCCCUAACUUAUCAUAAAACUAUUUCAUUAUUUCACUUCCUUCGACGCUUGAGUUAACCCAAUAAAUUUAUUGAAAAUAUAGUUUGUUUACUUGCUUAGAGUGAGACGAAUCUAAAGUAAAAAACUGAAAUGAUUUGAAGAGAAUCGUGUGCAAAUUAGCAUAUAGAGAAAACCUAAUUUACCAACCGAAAUCACACAUUUUCUUGUCCCCAGUACAAUCUAUCGCAUAACGAAAUAGAAUGACAUGCAAAACAAAACUCCCGGAAAGAGACUAUAAACCACACACCAAACUCAAAACUAAUAUUAUUUUUUUCCAUUUAUUAACAACAGCAACCAAGUCUUAUUUCACUAAGUGAGGUCGGUUGAAUGAAUCAUAGAACGCCAAUGCACUUGGUUUUGCACUAUGUCUUUCGUUAGCUCCAAAUACUCUAUAUCUUUUUUAAAGUCUCUUUCCAAGUCUUCGUAGGUCUUUCUCUACCCCUUUUGCUCUGAGCCUCCGUCUCAUAGUCACAUCUUCUAAUCAAAACAUCAAUAGGUCUUCAGUUCACGUGUUUAAACCAUCUUAACCGAUUUUCUCUCAUCUUAUCUUCAAUUGUAGUCACCCCUGCUUUACCUCGAAUAUCCUCGUUUUUAAUCCUAUACUUUCUCGUGUGCCCACAUCUUCAACAAAGCAUUCUCAUCUCCGCUAUACAUUUUGUCUACGUGUUAAUUUUUGACCAUCCAACAUUCCGUGUCAUAAAGCAUUGCUAGCCUUAUUGUCAUCCUAUAAAAAUUUCCCUUGAACUUUAGUGACAUACGACAAUCGCACAACUCAUCUGAUGUACUCUUCCACUUCAUCCAUCCAACUUGUAUUCUAUGGUUGAGAUCUUCAUCUAAUUCUUCGUUCUUUCGCAAGAUACAUCUAAGAUAGCGAAAGCGUUCACUCUUUGGUACUUCGUGAUCUUCAAUCCUCACUCCUAUCUCAUUUAGACCCCAUCUACUGAACUUGCACUCUAUAUACUCUGUCUUUGACCUACUUAGGCAAAGACCUUUUUAAAUUCCAACUUUUCCCGCCAAAGGUUAAGCUUCACAUUUACUUCCUCUUACGUUUCAUCUAUCAACAUUAUAUCAUAUGUGAAAAGCAUAUACUAAGGGAUAUCAUCUUAAGUAUGUCCCAUUAACUCGUCCAUUACCAAUACAAAAUGGUAACUUAAAGCUGAGCCUUGGUGUAACCUUAUUGUUAUAGGAAAGCGCAGUUUAUCCUUCAUGAGUUCAUAAUGUAGUCCUUGCUCCAUCAUACAUAUACUUUAUUGCUUGGAUAUAUGAUACUCGUCCAACUUUCUUUUCUAUAGUCUUCCAAAGAAUUUCUCUUGAGUCCUUAUCAUACACUUUUCCAAAUCUAGAAAGGUCAUGUGAAAAUCCUUUUUGCAUAUUUUUAUAUAGUUCCAUCGAUCUUCUUAAGAGAUAGAUUGUUUCUAUAGUCGAGCUUUGGCAUGCACCCGAAUUGAGUGUCUGAGACCUGUUUUUCCUGCCUCAAUCUAUGCUCAAUUACUUUCUCCUAAAGCUUCAGUGUAUGACUCAUUAUUUUAAUACCCCUAUACUUCAUGCAAUUUUGUAUGUCACUCUUAUUCUUGUAGAUAGGCACUAAAGUUCUUUUUCGCCACUCAUUUGACAUCUUCUUCAUUUUCAAAAUCUUAUUGAAAAUGUUUGUGAUACCUUUCACACUUCAAUCGAUAUAUCGUCCGGACCCAAUUCUUUUCUAUGUUUCAUCUUUUUCAAAGCUACAACCAUUUUCCAUUUUCUGAUUUGACAGUAGAAGGAGUAACUUCUACAUUAUUCCGAAUUACUCAACUCACCCAAAGAAGUACUCCUUUCGUGUCCUUCAUUGAAAAAAUUAUGAAAAUAAGCUCUCCAUCUAUCUUUAACAAAGUUCUCUGUAGCUAGAACAUUUCCAUUCUCAUCCAAGAUGCACUUACUUGGUUCAAGUCUCUUGUGUUCCUUUCCCUUAAUCUAGCCAGUUUAUAGAUAUUGAAUUCUCCUUUUUUUUGUAUCUAAUCGCUUAUACUUGUGUUCAAAAGCCACUAGCUUCACCUCUCUCACAACUUUCUUUGCCUCAUUCUUCACUCUAUUAUACUUCUCAUAAGUUUCUUUGGUUAUAUUCUUGUAUAAGAUUUUACAACAUUGCUUUUUAGCAUUAACAUUUUCAUGUACAUCCUUCUUCCACCACUAAGAUUCCUUUUGAUGUAGAACAAAACUCUUGGACUUUCCUAAUACCCUUUUUGUAACUUUUCGGAUAUAACUAGCAAUGGAAUAUCACAUUUGACUAGCGUUUCCCUCUAUAUCCCAAACACAUUUAGCAAGUACUUAUCUUUGAAAGUGACUUGUUUUUCUCCUGUUAGAUUCCAGCAUCUAGUCCUUGGACAUGUCAAGGUCUUGUUUACGGUGCCAUUUUUAUUUCCAUACCCAGCACAACCACCAUAGUUAGGCUUCACAUGACGCUAAUUUGGCUACCCGUUUAUAGUGAGAGGAGCGUUGAUCUAAAAACACAGUUUUGAUUUGAGACAAACAUGAACUAAAGGGAGGAAGAAUUCACCAAGAGGAUUAGAGGUCAAACCUGAAUCAAUUGCUAGGCGGUAGAGGUCCAACGCAACCCCCUUAACUAAAUGUGAAGAGUAAGAGAUGGAACUUUGCGACAGAAGACUUUUGAGACGGCUAGUGGAAUGAAUAUAUGAAAGUGAGUGGUAUUUUUUUAAUUACUAGCAAGAUAACUAUUAUAAUUUACACUAGGCAGAAGGGAAUUCACUAUAAUGAGUAGAAAAAGAGGGCCUAUAUAUCCAGUAGAGCAAUUUACGACUUGAAACAAAGUGAGUAUUAUUUAAGUGAGAAAAUUUAGGUAGUUUACUUUAAAUUCAAUUACAUUUAUCUUGUUUUUAAAACUGGUAAAUCAGUGGGUGUCCUACAAAAUCGUGUGCAAUUUUUAUGAAGCUUUUUGUCAUUCACCAUCUCUUACUUAUAUUUUGGCCUAAUUGGAUUAUUACUUCCUAUUGUCAUAGAGUAGUCGGAAGAUAGUUUCAGUGGUAAAAAGAUUAGGAUUUAGGCCCCUGUGAUGAAGUCUGUUAGGAUUUAUGAUUAAAAUUGAAAAUUUUGUCAACUCUCCAUUAAUUAUUAGUACGUGAGUCACACAUAUGAGACUAAAACAGAACUUGUCGUUAAUUGUUAGCACGGUUUACAAGUGAGACUAACUUUAUCCAUUUAGCCUCAUGUGCUAACAUUCAACAAAGAGGUGACAAAAAAUUUCAUCUUGGGCCUAAAUCCUAACAUCCUUUACCACAUGAGUUUAAAUCCUAAUUUUGUUUUAGAGAAAUUUUAUUGACACUCCAAAAAUAUUAUUCUACACUCCUCGCAAGUGUAUUUUUCUUUCUAAAUAUAGAAAGUUUAGAGUGUAUAAUGAUAAAUUUGGAGUGCCAAUAACAAUUCCCCUUUUUUUAUCACAGAAACUAUCUUCCGACUACUCUAUUAUCACAGAAACUAUUAAUCCAAUUAAGCCUUUAAUUUUUAAAAUUGCUUAUUUCUUAUGGAGAGGAGAAAAAGAAUAGGGUAGAGUUGUUCCAUAGCUUUUUAUUUUGAAGAGGGGAAGUAAAAAGGAAAAUCUAGUUCCUUCUUGUGGAGGGGGAUCCUGUCCGGAUUCAUUUUGUUGGGAUCCUAGGGAUUCCAACAUCCUAAUCGUUUAUCGUAUACCUUACGGUCAGUUUUCGUUAGAUAUUAUUUGUAUUUAAUUUUAAAUAAAAAAAUCAAAUGAUUUCUGACCGCAUGAUACACGAUGAAUGACUAAAACGUGGAGAUCCUAGAUCCGGAUGGGAUCCAAUUUCCCUUCUUGUUGAACUCAGCACAUUAAUUAAUGAGUAUUUCAUAAAAAAUUAGUGAGGGGUAUUUGUUUAUGAAUAUUUGCUAACAGCUAAGAAGUAACACUAUAUAGCACUUUGUUUAUUUUGUUCUAUAAAAUACGUAUUAAAAAUUCAAGCAGGAAUGCAAAUACUAUAAUAUGUAAAGGCAAACUUAGACUACGGUGCUCAUAUAAACAACCUUAUAAGUUAUAUGUAUGACACAAUAUAUAUUGAAAAAUUAUUAAACACAGAGAUUGUGUUUGUCGCUAAUUAUUUAUGUGACAUGCGUUUAUUUAACAAGUAACUUCUUUGUUAAAACACUUAACAAACAUAUGCUGAACAUGUGAAAAUUUUAAGAUUGUACUUUAAUUGUAAGAAAGAAUCUCUCAUGAGCUAGUCAUAUAGGACCACAAACCCUAAAUUGAAAAAUAAUAAAUAAAAUUUGAGAAGACGAAACUUUAUGUUAAGUUUUUUUUUUUAUCACACAAUAGAUUUAUUAAAUUAUAUAUUAAAUUAGAAAAUCGAGAGAAUUCAAAUCCACGUCAUGUUGCAAGAACAAAUUCUUUUCUACUACCAUGGUAGAGCCACUUUCUUUGUGAAGUUUAUUUGGCUUUAAACUUUUUGGCGGUGCAGUGUUUUAAGACAAAAAUGCAUAAGAAAGGUCCACAAAGUGGGACAAAGCAUGUAGCAUCAAUGAUCAUACAGUGAUUUUUUUUCACGAAUUGUUUAUUUUAAUUUAACUUUUUCUUUUUAAAUUUAUUUUUUAUAAAAAUCCAAUCUAAGGUUCUAGUUCUCUCUUCCCAUUGUCCUUGUGUGCGAGUUCUGAGUUUUAAAUAGCAAGAUUAUCUCUUCACCUUCUAAUCUCCCUUCUUUUUCUUUUCAUCCUAUUUAAAUGAUUAUGAUUAAGACAGAUUAAUAUUUUGCAUUGAUUUAUUUAUUUUUUAAGACAAAGAAUAAAUUGUGAGAGAAAGAAAGAAAAUGAGUCGAAUUAAAAUGAGAAAAAAAAUUCUAUUUCGAGAGAAGGCCCCUCUAUCUUCUCUUUAAUUUGCUUAAAUACAUGGAACAAUUCUUUAAGAAAAGCACAUUACAUUUUCAAACAAUAUUCUAUUGGAAUUUGGAUUAUUUGGAAAUAGAUCAUCUCCGCGUCUUUCCCUCCGAAGCCUAGGGAUCAAGUGAUCCGGAUAUUUGAAAUUUGAUUUAACAGUUAAAAACAAAGAAAUUAGUAAAAACUUUUAAAAAUUAUAAUAAUUUUUUACUGUUGGAUCAAAAUUUAAAAGUUCGAAUCACUUGAUCUCUGGUUUUGAAGAGAGAGAUCCAGAGAGGAUGACACACCCCGUUCCUAAGAUUGUGUUCAGGACUCGUGACGGCCAACAUGCCCUCCUUCGGGACGGGGUGUGUCAGUUCGGAAGCAACAUCAUUUAGCACCAUAUGAGCAUAUUCAUUGAUUCCCACACUCUCCAAAGUGUAUAAUAUUGUACCUAUGGUACAAAGGUGUACUACAAUCUUUACCAAAAAGUGCCUCAAAUGGUUACGUCACUCUCACGUGACGGCCAGCAUGCCCUCCUUCGGGACGAGGUGUGUCAGAGGAUCUCUUUCCACUUAUUUGUACCUCAAGUAAGCAAUAAUUCAAUUAUUUUAUUUACUAAACUAUUCAUUUAAGUGUGGUAGUGGUACACGACAAGUUCAUUCAUGCUAUUACUAUAAAAUGAGAUAUAAAAAAAAACAUAAUUAUAUUGUCCUCAAAUCUCAAGAUCCCAAAGCUUACGUAUUGUGGACAAAAGGGUAAAGUAAUAUUACGGGGAGAAAAUGCUAUCGUUCUUGUAAGAGCGACUAAAUAGUCGUUGAUCAAAUAUAUGUUUUAUAAUACGACACAUCCAAAUUAAUAACUCAUAAUUUUUUAUUGCAUUGACAUAGUGAGUUUCUUAAUACCGAGUCAUGUAACAAAAAGCAAGGUAAUGAUUUGCAAUUUUAUGUAGUUUUUCUUUCGUAAUAUAUUCGAUAUUAUAUGCGCUAAGGUUACGUUUGGUAAGCAGAAAAGAAUUUAUUCUAAAUAAUUUCCCAUGACUUUUCCUAGGAUAUAAGAAAUGCAUUUUUCCAUUGCCAUGAUUGGUGAAGUUGGGAAUGAAAUAGGGAAGAGAGGGACAAUUCAGUGUUUUAGUUUAAUGAGGAGGAUAAAGUAAGAAAAUAAAAUUUUGGUAUGAAGAUAUAUUAUCGAAAAAAUAUAUAUUAUCAAUAUAAUUGAGUUUUUAAUAUUAUAUAAAGGUAUUAUUGUACUAAAAAUUUGCAAUUAAUGUUAAUUGGUUGCAAUAAAUGUCAAAAAAAUAUGGGAAGGAGGACUCAUAGGGUGGAGAAAUUUUUCAAUUUGCUGGGAGCAUGGCCCGAAACAUAAAAAAUGUCAUGAUAUAAAUAGUUGAAAAAUCUCUCCAUGGUGGUGAGGAUUUUCUUUUCCCCUAUAUUUUCCAUCAUUAAUUACAGUUUUUCGACAUGGACUUGCGAAACAUGGGAAAUGAAGUGAUUUCCCUUUCUCAUGUCUCUUUCUGCCAACCAAACCUUGUCUAAGGGUUGUGGGAGUGAGCUAAAUCCUCAUAAUGACUACCAUAAUAAUAUAAGAGAAUUGUUAUUCGCAUUAAAAAAAUUUCAUUUUACACUCUAAACUUUCUAUAAUUAGAAGGAAAAUUAUACUUAUGAGGAGUGUAGAAUGAGAUUUUUGGAGUGCUAAUAACAGUUUCCUAAUUUAUUUUGAAUUCACCUCAUCUUUGAUAAAAAUCGAACCUAAGACCACUCACUUACUACUAAACUGUAGUACUAAAUGGUUGCAAUUCUUAUUUAGUUAGACAUUCACAUUUUGGUUCAUGCAUGGGGUUUAAUUACUGAACCAAUUUUUCCAUGGUACCAAUAUUGUUAUUAUCAUAUUUUGUGAAACUUGAGUCGAUAAAUAAUUUUGUAUUUUGUUAUCUUUUUUCUUAACAAACAAUAUUAACUACACUAAAAAGGUAGGAGAGUGGAUUAAACCUCACAAUGAGAUAAUAAUAAUCUAGGCUAAGCUUCACGAUGUUAUCAGUUAAUAAACUAUAUAAAUUUUUUGUUUUCUUCAACUAUGGUCCAUACAUUCACAUAAUUUUUGAUGUUAGUUUGCGCCCUAACAAGCUUUUAAACUUUUUAAGCAUUAUGAUUAAAAUAUUAACAUGUUUGGUUUCAUUUUUGGAUUCAAUUUUUUAUUUUGAAACUAAUAAUUACUUCAUAAUUUAAUUAAAUUAAAUUCAUUUUUUUUAAAUUGAAAAAAAAAAAUUAUUAAUUUUGAAAACUAGAAAUUGUUUCUCAAGUUGGGUACCAAACAACCACAAACUUCCUAGCAUAAAUUUAGCUAUUUAAGCACAUAAGAUGGUUAAACGUGGUGGGCCGCUCUCCAAAAGUGGGCUAAUUUCAUCUUUGGGCCACAUAAAUGCCAAUAGGGUUGUAAUUUCUAGGCCGAGCCCCAUUUUGGCAUUAAUAUUAACCCUAUCUCUUUAUGUAUAUGUUUAUACGUCGCAAAACUGUUCUCUUAAGGUCUUUAUUUUGAAAACAUGUGAGGUCGUUUUUCAUAUGGUCUUCCAGAUUAAUUUUAUGGUAGAUUAACCUAUGAAUUUAAAUAAUUCUUGUUACACCAAAAUGCAAUAAUUCUGCAAAAUUAAUAAAUUAAAAAAAAAAAAAUCUCACUUGAAACCUUCUGUCUUCUUCCCCCACCGUCUCUCUCCUCCAUAUUCCCGUCCUAUAUAAAUCUCUCUCCAUCAUUCACCCACCUUCUCUCAUCUUGAGUUUUUUGUUUUUUCUUUUAUCAUAUGAAAAAGGGAGAGGGAGUUGUAAACACGAAAAUUCUGUAUCGAAUGAAACGAGAACACGUGUACAAAGUAGAUUUGUAUUGAUGAAUUUGUAGGAUUACAAUCUAUGUUUACAAUUUUCCUCUGAUUCAGUCUUCAAAUUUGAUGUAAAUGCGUAGGUUGUUGAUCUAAGGGUCGCGAUGACUUGAUCUCGGACGAACGAUUGAACAAUUGCUUCAAGUUUGAGCUUGAAACAAUGCGUGGAUAGUCUUCACCUCAGGUUUAGGGUUGUGGCAAAGGGAGUAUUGAUGUAGAAUUUCGUUGAUUCAAGGGUCUUGGUGACUUGAUCAUGAAUCAAACGCUGUUACAAGUUUUGAGCUUGCAACAAAGUCUUGAAGGAAUCGGCACGAGUGCUUGUUGAUUCUUCAAGGGAAUGCUUCGGCUUUGGUCAAAAGAAAGCUUUGGCUUUGGUUGUGCGUUCUUUGAAGAGAGCUUUGGCAGCGUAUUAGUCUUCAAAGAUUUGGCAGAGGUUCUUCUGAAUGUGUAAUUUUCGACCCUAUGCUUGUGGGAGGAACUUGUAUUUAUAGACUUUUCAAAGCUUACCUUUGUAUGAAUUUAGCUUCGAUUUGUGUCUUGAUUCAUCCAUGGGAUAAUUUAGGCAUAUUUUGUGUUUAAUUUUUGCCACCUUUACUCCUUGGCCGAAAUUUAGAGGCUUUAUUGCCUAUUUUGUGAACAAUCUUCAAUUCUUACUUGUUUUGUGAAGAUGCCUUAGCUUUUUUCCAUUUUUAGGAUCAUUUUAGACCCUUUUGCCGAAUUUAAGGGAGUCUUCUCCCUUGAGCUGAAUUUUGGGAAUGUUUUUUACUUCCCUUGCUUGAUUUAUGCCACAUGUCAUUGAUGGCUUGUCCGUUUGUGAUGAGUCAUAUGCCAUGUGGAGUUUUAUGAUGCAUCAUUUGUAUGCAACAAAAUUUACGUGUCUACAAAUGCCCACUUCAAGGCACGUUGUAGGCAUGUGCUUGUCACAUGUAGGAAACGUGUUUUGAAGUCUUGCAAUGUGAAUGUUCUAACUCAAGGGUCGUUGAGACUUAAUCUUGAAUUAGGUUUCUUUUUCAAGGGUCGUAGAGGCAUAUUUCUUGAAUUGAAAUGAUGAAUUUCGUCAAGGGCCGUUAAGGCGUAUGUCUUGAACGAAACAUUUCUUCCAAGACCAUAGAUGCUUGAUCUUGAAUAAAUGAAAUUUUUCUUCAAUAGCCGUAGAAGCUUGAUCUUGAACGAAACUUUUCUUUAAGGGCCGUAAAAGCUUGAUUUUGAAAGAAAUGAAAUUUUUCUUCAAGGGCCGUAGAAGCUUUAUCUUGAAAGAAAUGAAAUUUUUUCUUCCAGGGCCAUAGAUGUUUGAUCUUGAAAGAAAAUUUGAAAAUGGAUAAAUCAGCACAUACUCAUUGUGUGUAUUGAUUUUCCAUAAGUUUUUGACAAAAUACAUUUGGUGUAUUUUGAGACUUGGACUUUUUCCUUGUAGUUGUGGGAAAAAUGUUAGGAACCACCUUUAAUUUUGGUAAUGAGGGUGAUUUCCUUCAAAGUGUUGAAAGAUUUGGUGAUUUGGUGAUUUCCUUCAAGGUUUUAGAAAGAUUUAAUGUUUGCCCUUGGGCAAGUAGGAUAUGCAUUUUUUCCUUUCCCUUUCUUUUUUUCCAAAGCAAGGAGGGUGUUUUUCCUUUCCCCUUUUGUUUUCCACGGUAAGGAGGGGUUCUUUCCUUUGUUGUUUUGGAAAUUUUGAAGCCCUUUCCUUAUUUAUUUAUUUAUUUUUUGUUUCCCUUUUUUCUCUUUGCUGAUUUUUGUUGCAAAAACAACAUGUAUUUUCCUUGUUGGUUUGGGAAAUAUGUCAUCUGAUUUGCAUGCCAAGUUUGAGGUCGAUUUUUCUUCUGGAAAAUUCUGUAAAAAUAUGGAAAACGUAGCUUUAUCUCUUAUCGUUUCAGGCAUAUAUCGCACACCACUAGGAAAAAUCGGGAAAGCCUUCAACUCGUCAUUUUCCUACAGCUGCGUAAUUCUGAUGGGAAAACAACUUCUAUGGGAUUAACUUUGAAAACUGGAACUUUUGACUUUAGGAAAAGUUAUGAAACUUUGACACAACAAUCAUCAGCCUUCUAGCUUCCUUCUCUAAUUGGCCUUGCAUCAAAAUUCCUCCGGAAAGUCGAAUUAUCACCAAAAACGUCAUGCUUGCGCAAAUUAGCUGAAACUUGCCCUUUUUUGCUUGGAAUUUGCUUCCUUCUUUUGGUUGGAAUGUGCUUCCUUGUUUUGAUUUUCCUUUUGCUAUUUGGGUAUGUAUUUCCCUUACAACAUUAGGAAGCAAUUGACCCCUAUUUAUAAGACAAUUGGGUGUGUAUUUUUCCACAAUUCCUACCCUUGCCGUGUGCUUGCUUUGCCUUGGGUUUUUGCUGCUAUGCUUGCCGUGAGCUGCUUGCUUGGAUUGUGUUGCAGUGCGUCACUUUUUACCGUGUGGUGCUAUGCAAAAGACUGCAGUAGGUUCGCGCUGUGUAGUGCCUUUUGGUCACAGUUUUCCCUCGGUGGUGACGUUGACGUGCAGUGCAAGAAACUGCUUGCGUAUAAUCAUUGCGGGGUUGUGUAGUGCGAUUGCGCAUCAUUUUGGUUUUCUUUUCUAUUGUAGUGUGCGUUGAAGGACCAUCUUGUAGCUGCCCUAUUUGCUAUGAAGUGAAAGAAAUUACUUACGUAAUCGCUGCAAGUUUGUGUAGUGCGAUUGCAUAGCAUUUUGGUUUUCUUUGCUACUGUAACGUGCAUUGAAGACCCUCUUGUAGCUGCUCUCUUUGCCGUGCUCUUCAAGCUUUUGUGGGUGAUUUCUUUUCAUCGUUGUGACUUUGUCAUCGUCAUCCUUCCACGCUUACAAGGUUUGUCUCGCAUGUCUUUCGCUUUAGCGAAGCAAUUUUUUUCUUCUUUGUUUUUUUUCUUGUCAUCCCACCUUGUGCUUAUGUUGCCUUGUUUGUUUUUUUGCAGCCGUGGUAUUUUUUAAGUGCUUUAAGAGCAAUACCAUCACCAUUAUUGCGAAGGAAGGCGAUUCACAAGAUAGGGGAACGACAUUGAAGCUUUGUGCGCUGUUAACUGGCCCUAAAGCACUUGUUCUUCCUUCAAAAGACAACUCGAUGCACAUCAAGUUGUGGUCUUCUGAAGCAUCUUGGGAGGUAACAGAUUUUGGACAACCAAAUACGAAGAAGAAGGUGUGUAUAUCGAGAAUUCUUAUCUUGAAUCCUUCGUACCAUGUUCGUGACAAUUCACCUGCUUCGUUUGAGCUUCUUAGUGAUCGCGUUUGUAGCGGAGCUGCGACUUGGAAUAACACUUUGUCGACUACUGGAGAAGCCAUCUUUGUUUUUGCUUAUUUUGUAAUACCGCUUUGUAGCUGAAUUUUUCUUUUAAAGAAAUAAAUUAUUCUUCAAAAUGUUUGUAUUUUUGGUGAUAGUGUGACUGUACGUGAAUUUUUUAAGCUUUAAGUUGCCUAAGUACCCUCGGUUGAUAAGGGAUCAAGUCAUGACGUAGUUCAAAUGAGUGAUGGAUUGUUUUGAUGGUGAUUUUGCCAUACAUAGUUUAUGCUCUUACGGGCCAAGAGCAUUGGGUGUCGCUUUUGAAGCUCGUGAGACCAAUGAGCAUUGGGUGUUGCCUUUUAAGCUCGUGAGGACAAAGAGCAGUGUUGUCAAGCAGUUUAGGCUUAUGCAGGCGAGAAGCAUUGUUGCUGUGUGCAGUUUAGGCUUGUGCUGGCAAAAAGCAUUGGAUGUUUAUUUAAGGGGGUAGUAGCGCUUCAAGAAUCUGCCAUUGAUGGGGCCAAUCUUCAAGCCGUCUUCUGCCAUGAUUAGGUUGGCAUCAUUGGUGUAGACUUCUUAUAUUACAUAAGGUCUAUCCCAUUUUGAUGUGAAUUUGCUUUUUAUUAUGUGAGUUAUGAUGAUAGGCCUUCGUAAUGCCAAGAUAAGAUCUCCAGUUUGGAAAGACCUUGGGCAGACCUUCUUGUUGAAUGUCUUGGAUAGUCGUGCUUGGUAGCAUUCCAAGUGUUCUUGAGCUUCGAGCCUCAUUUUUUUCAAGUGCUUCUAACUCUUGAAGUCGUAGCUUUGCGUUUUCCUCUUCAGUCAAGCCUUCUUGUAUAGCCAUCCUUAGUGAGGGGACUUGACUUUCGAGUGGCAAAACAUCUUCCACGCCAUAUACGAGAGCAUAAGGCAUAGCUUGGGUAGGAGUUCUAUGUGUCAUCCUAUAUGCCUAAAAUGCUUCACUUAUUCUUUCGUGCCAGUCUUUCUUUGUUCGGCCGAUUACCUUCUUUAGGAGGUUGCACAUCGUUGGUUGGAGCAUGAUACAUGGAAGACUUGUGCUGCUUAAACUUGUAUUUCUCAUAGAGCUCGUCCAUGAGUCGGUUGGAGAAAUUUUUUCUGUUGUCAAUGAUGAUUUAGCAAGGCACACCAUAUUGGUGGAUGAUAUGCUCCUUAUUGAAAUGGAUGACAGUUUCCUUCUUGACUUCUUUUAGGGGUACGACUUCAACCCACUUGGAAAAGUAUUCAGUUGUAGCUAGGGUGUAGGCUUCUUCGGCAGACGACUUUGACGUGAUUGGUCCUACGACGUCCAAUCCACAUGCAUCAAAUAGCUAUGAAGCAACCGUAAGGUGUAAUGGCUCAAGUGGUUGAUGUAUGAAGUUAGCAUGGAAUUGGCAGGCUUGGCACCUUUUGGCGUGUUCUAGGUAAUUUUUCACCAUACUUGGCCAGUAGUAGCCCAUCAUUUUAAGCUGGAAGUGCACCUUGGUCCAGACUGAUGCGUUCCAUAUACGCUUAUGUGUGCUUCUUCCAUGGCUUGAUUAGUUUCUUCCUCACCUAGGCAUCUUAGAAGUACUUAUUCAAAAAAGUGUCGGUAAAGUGUUCCUUUGUAGUAGAGGAAGCGAGGUGCUCGUUGACAUAUCUCAGAGCGGUGUUUAGGAUCAUCUGGAAGCUUUCCAUGCUCCAAGUGGUCGAUUAGCGGCUGUGUCCACUAUUUAGUGUCGAUUGGAAGUACUGAGAUGACAUUUGUAUCAUCUAGUAGCAUUUCAACGACUAGUAGGAUCUACACGACCUAAAAUGCCUACAAGGACGGCUGGCUUUCAUUAGACGCUUCAUUUCUAACCUCGCUAGACACUGUCAACCCUUAAGUCGACUCAUGAAGAAUGAUGCUCCCAUUCAUAUAGGAUGACAUCUUCCGCAAUGCCUUCGAGAGCAUAAAGUGAUACCUGUAAGCCCAACUGCCUUAGGAGUACCCGUGCCUAAAAAACCAUUCAUCCUAUACAUUGUUGCACAAGAAGGUUCCGUUAGAGCACUCUUGGCAUAAGAAAAUGAAGACCAAAAGGAAAGACCACUUUAUUACCUAAGUAGAACCCUCAUUGGUGCCGAGCUCAACUACUCAUCAACCGAGAAGAUAUGUCUUGCCUUAGUCUUUGGCUUCCAAAAACUUAGACACUACAUGCAUGCUUACACCAUCCACUUGGUUGCCAAAGCUGACCUAGACAAAUACGUCAUGUCCAAGCCAAUUUUGACAGGGUGACUAGCGAAAUAGGCAUUACUUCUUAAUCAAUACAAGAUUAUCUACAUUCCAGCUAAAGUCGUCAAGGGACAAGCGCUAACAGACUUCCUUGGCGACCAUCCAAUCCCAGCCGAUUGGAAAAUCUCAGGCGACCUGCCUGACGAUGAGGUAUUCUAUGUUAACAUCUUCCCAACAUGGACGAUGUUCUUCGACGGAUAUGCAGAGGUGCCAGUUUGCCAAAGAUGGGUCUUGAUUCUGGCAUGCUUUGAAUGACCUUGAUCUUUGAUUGGUCCACUUCAAUGCCACGAUGCUUAAUAAUGAAGCCAAGGAACUUCCCAGAAGUAACGCUAAAUGCAUACUUCAACGGGUUCAUUUUGAGGCUGUAGUGUCAAAGUUUGUCGAACAUUAUCUAUAAGUCAUUUAAGUGAUCAGAUCUCUUCUUAGUCUUGACAACCAUGUCGUCUAUGUAACAUUCUACAUUUUUAUGUAGAAUGUCAUUGAAGAUUUUUUGCAUUGCGCGCUGAUAUGUAGCUCUAACGUUUUUAAGACCAAAAGGCAUUACCUUGUAGUAGUAGUAGAUACCUUUUGGAGUGUGGAAGGCUGUUAAUUUCUCGUCUUUGGGAGCCAUGCGAAUUUGAUUGUAUCCAGAUGAGCCAUCCAUGAAUGAUAGCGCCUCGUGGCCAGUGGUUGCGUCCACCAUGAUUUCGAUGAUUGGCAAGGGAAAGUCAUCAUUUAGGCAAACAUCGUUGAGAUCUCGGAAGUCUACGCAACUUAGGGUAUUGCACUUCUCGGAUGAAGCUUGUUUUGAUUAGCUUGUCAAUCUCGGCCUCAAUUUUUAUGGGAUGUGCUCGGAUCGAUAGCGUAUUUGAGUUUGCUUUAUUGAUCGCGUUCCAGGCUUGACUGCAAGACAAUGCACGACGAUGAUAGGGUCAAGGUCGGGAACUUUCUUAUAGGUCCAAAAAGAGACAUCUUUGUACUCCAAUAGCAGUUGGUAGUACUCUUCGACCUUGACCAUACUUAGCAGUGUACUUACAAAGAUAGGCUUUGGUUAUUCGCUUGUGCCUAAGUUGAGCUCUUUGAGACCAUCAACCAUGGUUUGCCCCCCGCCUUCGAGUUGAGGUGGCAUAGUAGUGACAUCUUCCUUUGGGACUUCGUCUUCUUCAUCUUGGAUCGUGAUGUGGAAGACGUCUUGGACCUUCUCUUCAAUACCGUCCCCUUGUGCUUGUUGGCAUGAAGAUUGGCCGGUGUGGAUAAUGGUACACCUUCUUACUUCAGUGGUCUUUUUGUGUCCACCUCCAAGGUUGCUUUGCAUUUCAUCCUUGAAGGAAUAGAGCUUCGAACAUCGUCUUUUUCUGCUAGAUCAUCGAGCUUUUCUUCCUUCGGCGUUGUCUUCCUCUUUCUAGAAGGCUCAUUGGUUUCUUCAAGUCUUUCUAAGGUCGACUGUCUUGGAGGAGAACUAGACAUGUUGCUUUGUUUCUUGGGUUUUGACAACCUUUCGAAACUAGAGCUUUGAGGUGUUGGGGUGUUAAAACUUUUAAAGACAGAGGUUUGGUCUUGUCCACUAAUGCGAUCAAGUGCUAAACCCUAGGUUUUGAAGGGUUCAGUCAAUCGAAGAUUGAUGUUCGAGGGGCAUGUUUAGGCUUCUCUUGAUUUUGUUCAAUGCUCACGUUGAUGUGUUAAGCGCUAACGUUCUUCGCUUUUCUUGAGAUCUUCACAGGUGUAUUUGGUGUGAAGCCAAGUCCAGCUUUGUUGUUGUUAACUCUGUAACCAUGCUACUUUAACUUUUUUUGAGUCUCGAUAAAGUCACGUUCUUUGUCGUUGACGGUGUUUGCGUUAUUCUUUCCAAGAUUUGAAUAGAAGGAAAUCGUACCAACCUUUGACACGAAUUUGUAGGCGUUUGGGUUGAAACAUUCUUCGAACUUCUUGGUUGGAAGAAAGCUUGGUUCUACCCUCUUUGGCAAGGGUUUUACAAAACCUUGUGGUGGUUUUGAAACUUUAAUGUUGCCUAGCUGUGUCAGAGGUAACACUGCAUUUAUCUUGAGCAACUUUACAUCGUCUUUGUGUAGCUAUGUGACGGUUUUGCUUGCUCUAAUUUUGAAUGGGGAUUGCCUAUUCUUUUUUCUCGACAUUAGGAUUUAUCGGAAGAUUGAUAUGCUUGACCCUUUUAAGGGUGUCACACUCUCUUUGGUUGUUGUGGGCUUAGCAGGCACAUCGUCGUCUUUGCUUGAAGAUAGCACGACUUCAUUUUCUUGUUCUUUGGGCAUGGCUUGCUAUUCAUUCUUUUUGGGUGCCGCUUUGCUUGUGGACUUGAUCACUUUUGGAAGAGCUUCAGGCACCAUUUCUUCAUCCAUGUAGAACUUGGCGUCUGCAAAGUGUGAUUUGCCUUCGAUGAAUGGCUUGGUGUCGCCUUUUAUCACCUUCACCUCUUCUCGGUAGAAAUUUAAGCAUUAGUGGAGGGUGGACAACACCACUCUAUUCUCUUGGAUCCAAGGCCUUCCCAAGAGCAAGAUGUAGGAAGUUCUCAAGUCAAUCACGUGGAAUAGCGUGCUUAACUUGAGUUUGGCAAUGGUCAUUUCGACUCGGACCAUGUUUAUCGCUCUUUGUCAUCCUUAGUUAAAACCUUGGAUUAAAAGACGGCUUCGGGAUAAUUCAUUUACCUUGAUGUCGAUUGCAGUCAUUGUUGACUUUGGCAUGAUAUUUAUGGCCGAACCUCCAUCCACAAGCAUGUGGUUGACUUUGUGCUCCCUCACAUACCCAGAGAUGAAGAGAGGACGGCUGUGAGGCUUUGACCCUAGCAGCAAGUCUUUUUCAGUGAAUGUGAUUGUGUCAUGGGCGGCACAUCAUGUGGCAUAUUCUUGUGGUCGAAGCUUCAAGCCUUCAUCUUUGCUUUCUAGCACCUCGUGGUCGUCAGGACUUGCCAAGACCGCUACUAGUGCUUUUCACAUAUCCUUGGGCAAUCGCAGUGUCUCAUCGAUGCUAAAGUGUGUUGGCAGGCUUUCUUUAGGCGUGAGAUUUUUCUUUUCCUCUCCAACAAUAACUUUGCCUUUUGAGGGCUCUUCUAUCUCUAUUUCUACCAUGUGACAUGCAUCGGUAGUGCACUAUUGGAAAAAGUCCUUCAAGAAGUACUCAUGCAAAAAGAUGGGAAUGCGCGGCUCUUGCUCCAUAGGUUCCCUAGCGUGCGUCGGCUUAGCAGCUUUUACGUUUCUCUUGGGCUUCCUAUUGUUGCGACGAUGGUGCUUUCUCUUUGUUCGACCUUUGGCUUUGCAUCUUGUGGUCUUGGCUUCAUUGUCUUCUUGUAGGUUACCAGUGUCCACCCCUCUUUAUCGUUAGUAAGUGCAUUUUGGUCACUUGCCUUCAGUGAUGGUUGUGUAGAAGGUGCCAUAUGGCUUGAGGAUAGACGGGAAUAAGCAUAUGUUACUUGGAGAGGCAUGGGAUCGAAUGAUCCAAACACAAUUGCAGUAGUGUGUGUUGCGGCUGUGUUUUCAAGGUCGAGUUCAAUUCGCCCUUGUUGUGCCAGUUUCAUGAUGAGCUAUUUGAGGAUGAAGCACUUGCCAAUAGGAUGGCUCACAAUAUGAUGAUAUUUGCAAUACCUAGGAUCAUUAACGCGAUUCAUCUAUUCUGGGCGUUUGCAUUCAAGUAGCUCAAUCACAUUUUUCUCCAACAAGUAGUCUAAAAAAAAGGUUACGUCUUUUACUUCAGCUUCCUCAAUGUGUUUUUUACCUAUCUUGGGGUGCGAGAAGGCUCACCUCUUUUUAUCUCCAUUGCUUUGUUCUUGGAGGAGAUCUUGACGGGCGUAAGGGAGGUCUUGAUGGGGGUAGUGUUGACAACAAAAGCUGCUUUGGCGGGUUUCUUUCUAAUCUUGUCUACUUUUGGAGUGAACACCUUGUCAUUUUUAAAGUCGGUGGUUGGAUCUUUUUUCACAUGGUUGGUGAUACUCAGCUCCAUGUCAUGGGAAUGAGUCGCCAGUUCCUCAAAUGUCAUUGGCUUUUUGCCUUUAAGGAUGUAGUGUAGCCCCUAAUGCAUGCCUUGAACGCACAUCUCAAAGGCUAAGGUUUCAGAAAGCUGAUCAUUGCAAUCUAGACUUAAUGAAUGCAAUAUGUUGAUGUAGUGGACGACAUGUUCAUCCUUUCAUUGCUUCGUACUCGUCAACUCUAGCAUGCUUACGGUGCGGUGAGUUCUGUAGAAGCGGUUAAGGAAUUCCCUUUCAAGCUGAUCCCAGCUGUUGAUAGACUUGGGCUCGAGGUCAGUAUAUCAGUAAAAAAUGUUACCUUUUAGUGAGUACACGAACUGCUUGAUGAGGUAGUCUCCCUCUGCCCCAACAUUGUUGCAGGUUUCGAUGACAUGGGCAAUAUGUUGUUUAGGAUUGCCCUUUCCAUCGAAUUAUAUGAACUUUGGCAGCUGAUAACCCUUUGGCAUCCUUAAAGAGCCAAUCUUCUUGGAGUAGGGGUUUGAGUACAACAUGGAGUCAUGCGAGCUUCCUUGGUACUGCGCCUUGAUGGUGCUAGUGAUCAUUUCCUGUAUAUGUUGGAUAGAGAGGGAUCCCCUGAGCGUUGUUGCUUGGUUCAGCUUCUCCUCCGCUUUCUCCACCAGAGGCUCUUCCUUUUCAUCGGUUUCCUCAUUUGGUGGAUCAACCUUCGGGUCAGCUUUGUCUACGUGCUGCACCUCUAGACGGUUGAUGAACGUAGCAAUUUGUAAGUCAUUCUCCUCCACAGUCUUUGUCAGCCUUGCAAUUGCUUCACUCAUUUGAGCCAGCUACUCCUCGAUGGAAGUCGCGCCUUUAGUCAUGACUUGCAACGUUACGGGACAUGAGCUACUUGAGUCGGCGUCAGAAGUCAAAGACUCAGAGUACCUCCUCGAACUUUCUUUUCUUGGUGCCUUAAUGAGGCCAGGGUGAUCAGAGGUUCGUGCCUUGGGUGCUCUUGCUCCUUCAGCAGAGUUGAUGGAGGGGUGGAAGGCACGACAGAGAGAGUUCUUGCCUUGCUUCGGGUUGUGACGCCUAAAGUGCCACCACUUGCGGCAAAGAUGCCCUUGUUGUUCGUGUUGGUAGCGAGAAUAACUUGAUCCUUUCUUGAUGCCAUGUAUGUUUCUUGUGUAUUUGAAGACAGAGAUGAGAGGCAGAGAAAUCUCACUGGGCAUGCCAAAUUUGGAAACACGAAAAUUAUGUAUCAAAUGAAACGAGAACACGUGUAUAAAGUAGAUUUGUAUUGAUAAAUUUGUAAGAUUACAAUCUCUGUUUGCAAUUUUCUUCUAACUCAGUUCUCAAAUUUGAUGUAAAUGUGUAGAUUGUUGAUCCAAGGGUCGCGAUGACUUGAUCUCGGACGAACUAUUGAACGAUUGCUUCAAGUUUUGAGCUUGAAACAAUGUGUGGAUAGUCUUCACCUCAGGUUUAGGGUUGCGGCAAAAUGAGUGUUGAUGUAGAAUUUCGUUGAUUCAAGGGUCUUGGCAACUUGAUCUUGAAUCGAACGCCGUUACAAGUUUUGAGUUUGCAACAAAGUCUUGAAGGAAUCGGCACAAGGGCUUGUUGAUUUUUUAAAGGAAUGCUUCGGCUUUGGUCGAAAGAAAGCUUUGGCUUUGGUUGUGCGUUCUUCGAAGAGAGCUUUGGCAACGUAUUAGUCUUCAAAGAUUUGACAAAGGUUCUUCUGAAUGUGUAAUUUUUGAUCCUAUGCUUGUGGGAGGAACUUGUUUGGUAUGCGCAUGACAAAACGGGAGAGUUGUUCUGUUCUGCGUUUGGUGCGCAUGACGGAGAACAAAACCAAAAGACAAAGAAAUCAAAACAAGCUCAAUAGGAGGAGUGGAAACAGACAAACAAAGGUGGAUCUUUGGUUGCAAAUGUUGAAUUGGGUUGAUCGAUGCACUACAAAAUACAAAGAAAUCUAAACAAGUAAAUCAGAAAAGAAUACAAAGAAAUCGAAGCACUACAAAAUACAAAGAAAUUUAGCCGAACUAGGAACUAGGUGUUAAUGAAAUCGAAACAAGCAAAUUAGAAAAGAAUAAUAAUGCCACUUCAAAUUUACAUCAAAAUUAAUUGAAGGACCUUCUGGAAGCAAUUUUUUUAUUUGCAGUUGUAGAUGCAAUAUUGGGCAGAUCGAAACACUACAAAAUACAAAGAAACAGAGAUUGAGAGACUACACAAUCACAAUCAAAUCGAACCUGGAAUGGAGAUGCAGAGUUGAAGUUCGCAGAGAGGCUAUACAGAAGAGGAUGAGGAGGAAGGUUGCGAAGGGGAGAUGUAGAGCUGAAGAAGUUCAUAGCCGCAGAGAAGAGAAAAUGAUAGUUAAGGUUUGUUGUAUGAUUUAGAUGGUGUAAAUAUUGAAAAAGACAAGGGGUAUUUUUAUCUUAAAAUGUUAUAAAUUUGUGUUCCACGGAGGUGGAACAUCACCCAAAACUUGUUCCGUUCCACAUACCAAACAGUACCUAGGAGAGCUGCUCGAUUAUACGUCUUUAAAUUAUUAUUUUUGGAAGGUAAAAUUAAUUACCAACAUAGAAAAUAUAAGUGAAACAUAGAGCAAAACUAUGGAUCUCCAAAGCAGUAGAAACAAAUAGCUCAACACAAGGUUUGGAGCCCAAACAUAAAAACACAAAGUGAAAAACCCUAGCAGCCAACUAUCUUUGCCGCCGCCGCCGUAGCAUCAUCUACUCCGCAUGAACCAGCACCCCAAAGACACUUGAAAUCCAAGCACGGAGGGCCCCAGAAACGAACAAGGAAAAAGCUCUAUCAUCCUCGAUCAAGCAGCACACAAAUCCGAACAACAAAGUGUACAAAACCUAUGGGAAUAAACAUCCCACAAACAACAAUGCCAAAAUAGGCACGCACAAGGAAGGUGGUGGUGUGAACACUCGCGGGAACUCUUCACACAUUUUAGUAAAACCGUGAAAUCCGGUGGAAAUAGACGGUUUUAGAUCCAAAACCUUGCGGGGUCAAAUGAUGCUUGAGUGAACUGUAGAGUUAGAUGAUGAAUUGAAUGUAAACAGGGAGGUGAGAAAACAGUAGGGAGAAAAGUAAAAAGAAAGGCUAGAAUUGAGGGCUUUUCGAUGUAGAAAUCAGGGUUUUAAAACGACAGUAAUAGAGGUUUUGGGACAAAGAAAAUUAAGUCAGAGAACAUGGGCUACCACUGAAACUGAGAGAGGAAGAACAAAAAACAAAAUUAAAGCAUAAACGAAACGGAAAGGGGCUGCCACCGGCCCUAACCACGGCGAGGGUUGGCGGCUGAAGGAUUUUUCAGAUCUAGAAAAAUCAUACAGAGGUCUCUCAAAAGGAAAGAAAGUCUCUCACAACAAGAGAAAGCUAAUAUCAUAUGUCUUUACUUUAGGUUAUGUUUGGGUGUGGAUUCUAAGUUCCAAGAGAUUGAGAUCAAGCUUGCUAGUAAGGAAUGGUUAACAAAAUAUUGACAAGAAGGAUCAGAAA
rnacentral:lncRNA from 1 species